GGAGAACCACUUGCACUGAGUAUGUAAUCUCUAUGGAUGCAGACAACAUAUCAAGAUCAAGCAGCACUUACAUUGGGAAACUGAGGUAGGAUUCCUUCUCUUUGUGGCUCCCUGGCCCUUUGCUUUGCCAUUCAGCUCCUUAGUCCUUAACUGUAUCUGUCGCAAAUUAAGAGUAGAGCUGAGGAAAUGAAAAUUUGUGAUGAAUUCUAUUUAGUUGAGUACAAUUGAAAUUUUGCUGUAGUGUUUGUGCUGUCCUCUAACAAAGUGCAUGGACAAUGGAAAGAGAAAAAAAUCUUGAAAUUUAACCCUAAAGACAUUUGAGGUUUCUAGACGUGUUCUUGAUGAAUCUUCCAUGACCUAGCAUGUUAAGCAAUUUUCAGUUUGUUGGUUUCCCAAAUUUAUGUUGGAUGAAGGGAUCUUAAAGGCAAGCGUGAGGGGUCAUCAUUUAGUGUAGUUUGUUAAAAAAAAAAAUCUUCUUGGUUGCUAAUUUUCAUUUACUUAAUGUUCUUAUAUAGUAUAUUAAAAUAGAAUAAUUUUGCUUGGAUGUAAUACUUGUAAUUGUUGAUGUUAUUUGUAUUCCACAUUGCAUGGUUUGGAUUUUGACUGAGGAAUUUGAGAAAUUAGAUCGUUCUUGCAAGGCCACUUUCUAGAGCUCUUUAAAUAUAGAAGUUUAUCAGCGCAAUAACACUUCCACUCCCCGCCCAAACUAAAAAUCUCAAGCCACAGAAAAAAACUUAUGUGCCUUUGGAUUUAGUGGUUGUGGGUUUAGCAACAUAUAGAGAAUGCACAAAUAGAAAUUUAUAGUUUGCAAUUCAUUUUCCCUUCUUAUCAGAUGGACACAGAUAUGGUUCUUGGAUUUUAAGAUCACUGUAUAUUUUUACUAUAAACCCUUAUGAUGUAAAUACUUUCUUUGAUUCAGGUCAAAUUUUCUAGGCACAAAAUUCAUAAUUUAUGACACGCAGCCUCCUUACAACAGUGCUCAGCUUUCCCCACCUGGCCGAAGCCGCAGGUUUUACUCAAAAAAGGUUUCCCCAAAGGUUCCCACAGGUAGCUAUAACAUUGCUCAGGUCUCUUAUGAGCUUAACGUUCUUGGCACUAGGGGCCCUCGCAGAAUGCACUGUACAAUGCACUCAAUCCCUGCGUCAGCUCUUGAGCCUGGCGGUAGUGUCCCAGGCCAGGCAGAGCUUAACCCUCGUUCACUUGAAGACUCGUUUCGGAACUUCUCAAAAUCAAUUGACGUUUCAACCGAAUUUAGCAGCUCACGGUUCUCCGAUAUUGUUGGACCCCGUGAUGAAGAAGAUGAGGGAAAGGAUAGACCCCUGAUUCUUCGGAAUAAGGCACCAAGAUGGCAUGAACAACUGCAGUGUUGGUGCCUCAACUUCCGUGGGAGGGUGACUGUUGCAUCAGUCAAGAAUUUCCAGCUGAUUGCUGCAACUCAGCCUGCAGCUGGUGCGCCCACACCAUCGCAGCCACCCCCGCCGCCCCCGUCAGAUCACGAUAAGAUUAUUCUGCAAUUUGGCAAAGUUGGCAAGGAUAUGUUCACAAUGGAUUACCGGUAUCCUCUGUCUGCGUUUCAGGCUUUUGCGAUCUGCUUGAGUAGUUUCGACACCAAAUUGGCAUGUGAAUAGAAGAAAAUAGAGAGGCAAGAAGUAGAAAAUUUUAGUUUGUUCUGCUUGUUUUCUUUUUCUAGAGUUCUAUAUAGAAUGAAGAAGUUGUAUGCAGUGUACAACACAUAGCUGGACUUCAAAUUACAGGACACCAUAUCUGUGAUCAUGGGAGAAGAAUCCUGUUUUUUCUUUGUUUCCUCAAAUUUCGGUUAUUUUUUUAACUUUGAUUUAGCUUGCUCUGUAUGUUUCCUAUUGUUUAAUCUAAAAAGAAACAUUUCAAAGUUAAAUUGGUUUUGUGUUCUAGCAUAUUCUGGUUACAAAUUGAAGACACUAGGGGCCUCUUAUGGUUCAGAUAAUUGACCUUCAUUUAGUCUGAGUGUGUCUUGUCUAAUUCACUUUGGUUGUGUUUGACACAUUGCAUUGUAUUAUUUUAAUAUAGAUGUAUCGUAUUAUAUUUAUUGUAUUAGUAUUGUAUUAUAAUAAUAUUGUAUAAUAUUUGAUGUUAUAUUGUAUUAUAUUAAUUUUUAUUAUUAAUUUAAAUUAUAUAUUUAGAAAAUAAUAUUGAUCAGUACUUAAAAAAAAUGAAAUAUAAAAGUUCAAAAUUUUAGAAAUUUAACUUUUUUAAUAAAAUAUUGAAAAAAUCAUAAUAUUUCAUAAAAAUACAAGUUUUUAUCCUUAAAUUUUUGGAAAUAUAACAAUUAUUUUUCAGUAUAUUCUAAAUAUAUAACAUGUGAAAAAAUAUCAAAAUAAAUAUUUUAAUCAAAUAAUCUCUAAAUAAUAUAACAACAUAAAUAAAUAGUUAAAAUUUAUAAGAUGAGUUCUAAAAUCAUUUUAUAAUGGUAGAAUAAAAAUUUAUAUAUACAAAAAGAUAAUUGCAAAAUAAUAAAGUUAUUAAUUGUUUUAACAUAUUCACUAACAAAAUGAAUUGUACUAAAUUAUCCAAUAAUUAUUUAUAUUAUUAAUUUUCAAUUAUUAAAUUUAUUCAUCAAACUAAAAUAUAAUAUUAUUGAAUAAUCAAUAAUGAAUUUAUUAAUUUAUAUUAAUAAUUAUAAUGUAAAAAUAAAUAUUGUAUUAUAUUUAUUUAUUACUAUUACAAAGUCAUAAAAUUUAAAAUAAUAAAAAAAAAAAAGGAGAGAGAAGCUAAUGCGGUGACUAAAGGUGGAGUUUAGAUAACGCUAGAAGUUAAUGCAGUCUAGUCUACUAGUGCAGCAACUUGGUGCCCCAAACAUGGGGCUGCGUUGCAUUUUGUAAUGAGGCCUACCAAACACCCCCUUUCCCUGCUUUGUGAGUGAUGGAGACUCCUGGCUGGCGGACAGGGCAAGUAGCCUUUUACACCAACAGACAAAAGUUACUAAAAUCACUACUUUUACCACGAAGCUGCGUUGGUUUCUGGAACUUAGCUCCUGUCGGUGUUCUGCACGGCUCAUUGUGGGUGGCUUAGUAUACGACAGUAUAUUCCCAGUUAUGUCCUUUUGUCUUUUGGACGUAUCAUGUUAUCAUCCGAGCGAUAACAUAUUAUUAUGUUUAGUUUAUUGGGUUAAAUGGUUCUUGAUGUAUCUGAUGAAUAUACACAUGAAUGAGCGUUUUGAUAUUAUAUAUUUAUUUGUUUAUUUAUUAUUAUUUUUGGGUCAACGCAAAUCCAGCUAGACUGAGAAAUUGUUGAAUAUUUGUUUGGCUUUUGUUUUGUGUUGAAGUAUUAUAGUUUUCACUUUUCAAGUCACAACUACAAAUAAAAAAAAAAGGUUAACUAUAAAAGUAAAAAUCAAUAGUGUGCAUUAUUAAGCAUAUCAUUUGAAUGAUAAUUUUGACAAAAUUUUAAGAUAUAAUUGUUUUUCUUCAAACAUGUAUGAAAUUAAAUCAACUUAAUAAUUAAUAUUUAUUAAAUAUUUUGAUGCUCUAUAAUUGCCCAACCUCAGUAUUAACAUUUAAACAGGGGUCUUAACUAAAUGAUUCCUUUCUAAUUAAACGACUCUCAUAAGGGGCAGUUAUAAUGACUCAAAUGCCCUCAUAUUUUGUUAUAGAGCUCAAAGUUAACGAUAUAGAUAUAAUAAGAAAAGAGUUGUCGUUCCUCUUGUGCGUAUGUGUCAGGAUUUGAGCGGCUCGGAAUCUAACUACAUUACGAACGUAUUAGACAGAUGAUCCUUUACCACCGUCUAAUUUAAUUGUAACAAAACUGUGGUGGUCCAAAGUUGAAUCGACAAGAUUUACAAAACAUGUGUAUGCAACAAGGGGCAUGCCGAUUGCCUCAUCUAACUGACUGACACUUGAGUCCCGACAAAAGUAGAUGGCAUUAAGGUCCAUUUGACAUGGAAGGGCAUUGAUUGAGAUUGAGAUUUAGAUUGAGAUUAACUCUUUCAACUAUGGUGGACAUAAAGACAUUAAAAAAUACUAAACUAUUGUGCUUUUUGAAAGACCCAAAAUUUAAUAUGUUCAUGAUUCAUGUCAUAUUAUUGCUGUAACCAUACUCCUUGCGACACUCGUAAGGUUCUACUAAAAUUUGGCUUAUUUUGCGCUUUCUCCAUGAUCUCCACUUAAUUGACACGUGGCGAAGUGGGCGUACAUCCUAAAAUGUGGACCAAAUGAUCAUCGAAUCAAUAUCCUUACCUCAUUAAAUGAUCAUAUUGGGUUUUCAAUCUUCAAUGAAUAGAGUUGGAGAACUUCAUUUGUAAUUGUAAUCAUCACUAUGCAGUCUCUAUUCAAUCAGGGAAAAUCUUCAUAGCAAAUUAGGAGCAGGAGCAGCAUAUAAUUUCCUCAUCAACAAACAAACUUCUUCAAAUUGGCAUUUAAAAAAUAAAAUGAAAUAAACAAACCUUAUAAUAAUAGGAAGCCAGGACCAUGAGCACUUAAUUACACUCAUUAAUUCCAUGUCAUGGAACAGAAGCUUUACACUUAUUCGAUAGAAUUCUUGACAUCACAGCUUUACAAGGUAAAUCAGCAAAAGAUGGAAAAAACCAGAGGGUCAACACUACGUACAAUUGUAUAGCAAAAUGAUAUGAAUUUGACAGAGUCUGAGAAGUGAGCACUGCUACUCGUUAUUUGCCAUCCAAACUGAAGUGUGCCGGCGCCUGUGCCCCCGGGCUGCUGCAGCAUGGAAGCUCAAGGAGGCUUGUGUACUUCUGAAACUGAGACCAUUAGAGACGGUGAGUGAGCGAGCGAGCGGGUGGGUGAGUGAAUGGAGAAGAUAAGGAUGGCUCUCUUUGUUUCUCUUUUGGAAAAAUAUGCAAAAGAGACACAAAAUGCAAAGCCCUGGCCACGCCUGCAGUAUAUAAAUUAUAUAUGCAUAUGCAUACGUGCUAAAAGACAUUAGAAAAGCGUGUGAUGGCAUCAUUUGGUCUGUGGCUGUCAGAAUAUUGUAUUGUAUGUAUUCUUCUGUUAUCCUAGCUACUUAUUUAUCAAGUCACUUUAUCUUUAUCUUCAGCUUCCUUUUUUUUUUUUUUUUUUUUUCANNNNNNNNNNNNNNNNNNNNNNNNNNNNNNNNNNNNNNNNNNNNNNNNNNNNNNNCAGCCCAUUGAAGUUACAUUUGUUUUUACACUAAUUUAUAAUUAUUAGAUUAAAGAUGUAGUGUUGGUGAGGAUUAAAUGAAAUUAGUAAUAUAAUUCUUAACAACAUGUACUUUCUCUCUCUCCCUUUGUUAUUUGUUAUUCUCUUUUCGUGGCUAAGCUUCCAUUGAAGGCACCAUCAAAACCCACAAACUGGAAUGCCUUGGUCAUAAGAAGCUAUUACGUACUAAGAACAUACCCAUCAUCAAAUAACUCACAAAUGGAUGUUAUUAUUUCAAGAAAUUUGUGUUCUUAUAUUAUGUUUUCUUGUAUGUGGCUAAUUACUUACAAAUUCAGUGGUUUUCUUCAAUUUUUGAACAAAGAAAUCGAGAGGGGAGAAAGAAUAAAUAUUUUUCUUAAAUUAAAUAAAUCGCUAGCUUGCUUCUUAUUUGCUUCUUGCUUAGUCAUCACCAUUUGUACUGAAACACAAUCUCAAGAGUAAUUUUGAUUUUGAUUCAACAAGAUUGCGAUGAAAAAGAAAAAAAAUUAAUGAAGAGAAAAAAUGGGAAUAAAAAAAGUUUGAGGGAGAGACAGAGAAAAAGUUAGAGAGAAACAAAAUUUUUAUCAAAGAUUUAUUACACUUCACAAAAUCUUAGCCAUUCAUUUCUCUUAAAUCUUAUUGCUAUAAAGUAAUGUAAAAAUAGGUAUAACUUUAGAGGAUUGUUGAUCCGCCUCUAUAUAUACACACACACAUUGCCGUAAUUAUCACUUUGUUUUUAUUAUGAAAUAUACAUGUAUAAAUUAAUUGGUGUACUUGUCAAUGCCAAUAUCUCAUGAGCAGUACUGAGUACACUCGCAUUAACAUGGAAAGACUCAGUAAAUUGUUUCUUACUUUCUUUGCAUAAAUAAAAUCACUUCCGUCGGCCUUAAUUUAAUAUCCAUUGAAGGGGGAUUGGAGUUAUAUAAUAAUGGGUAUCUCUUAAAGUAUCUAAUGGGCCACCUGCUGUUCGAAAGUUGUUGCAUAAACUGUACAUGUAGCCGAUUUGAAGAGAAGAUGAUCAGCAAAAGAUUUUGUACAAUAUUGGGCCCUUCUGAGUUAUGACCUUAGAUGGUAAAUUCCAAUGCGCAAGUAGGCAAGUCAUUCUCUAUUGGGAAAGUUGGUGGAGCACUAAAUCUUGAUACCAAAUCUCAAGAUUGAUUCCAAGUAUAAAAAAUUGUGGUUGUAAUGAAAUUGGUUUUGCAUUUGGCCUCACACUCCACAUAGUGCUCACUAUUUCUUAACUUUUCACAAGAUAAUAUUACCAAGUCGGCGCUUUUGUCAAGUUAUAACUAAUAAAAUAUUAGAGAUUGCACGCCUAGAUGAACACAUAAACGAAUUGGAAUGCUUGUUUUGUUAUUCUUUUAACACUUAUGUGUUAUAAUUAUAAAUCUAUAUAUAUAUUAGAGAUCUACUAACCGAUAUCAAUUUUAUUAUAACACAAUUCACAUAUAUUUAUUGUCAUUCAAAUUAAAAAGGAUAUAUCUACGUUAAAGGGUUUGUUUUGACUAAUAAAAAUAGGUAAGAACAUCAUCAAAAGACUUUUUUUUAUUUUUCUUUUUAAAUACUAAUUUGUUUAAAUAUGUGGUAAAUAGAAGUUUCCUUUCAAAAGGCUAUUCAAAUAUAAAUAAGUUUCUAUUAUUUUAAUCAAAAUUUUUCCUCCACCAAAAUAAUAACAAUUCUAAUAUUCUCUCCUGUCAAGAAUGAUAAGAUAAAAAAUAAUAUAAUACUAAAUUAAAGGAUCUAAAAGGCUCUUCAAAUGAGAUGAAUUGAAGGAAUCACUAUCUAAUUUAAAGAUCUUUUUAAAACUCCUUUUAUUUUUGUGGUUCUUCUAGUGAUGCUCUAACUUACUGUCUGUAUGUUAAUUUUUAAGUCAUGCCUACUUUGGAGCUACAAUAAGAUAGACAAUAAAUCACAGUUACACACACAAAGUGAUAAAUAAUAAAACAUAUAUUAUAAUUUUAAUCGUGUGGUUAUGAAAGAGUGUACCUUAAAGCAGUUCCAACAUAGGCAAACACUUAAUUUUUUUUUUUUUUUCAUUUUAUCUCCAUUUCAAAUUAUAUAAUCAAGUGGAGAAUUUUGAGUUCGGAAGCGUACGCUCAAAAUUGGAUUGAUCUUUCUUUAAUUUUCUUAAUGAGCCGUACUGGGCCUUCAAAUGCAGCUACCCCACGGAAGCCGAAGCCCAGAACCAAUUUCCAAUUUUCUUCACUUGUCGUGACUCAUUUUAUCUGCUAACUGCUACAUUAGAACCCUAAAAUUUUGAUCUCACCUACUCUCAUUCUUUUCUUUCUUCCUCUCCAGUCUUUACCGUGGUCUUUAUUUGGGUUCAUUUUAAAUUAUUUUAUUCUAUAAAAAAAAGUGCUUUGUUUUAUUUAUUUAUUUUUUUAAAUUAGAAAUUUACCCGAUGAUGGAAAAACUGUGCAAUGUAUUGAGCGGUUGCCGUGGUUUUUUGUUCAAUCGCUAGCCUUUACUCACCGCCGCCGUCUCCACCACCACCACUACAUUUACCUCUUUAUACAUGCACACAUACACACACAUAUAUAUAUGCACGUGCGGCGGUGUGUAAAGGCUUCUGAUGAACGCCAUUGGCAGUAAGCCGUGAAUGAUCGGUUCAAAGCUAUGAGAUCUGAGGGCUACCACUCACAUUUCAAAUUUUUCUUUUUCAAGAAUAAUUUUCUUUAUUUUGUGCUUUAUUUUUUCGGUAAUGUUGUGAAUUUAGUAAUUUGUCGGUUUUUUCGGUUCCACGGUUUUUUCUGCCACCCCUCACAUUAAACCGAUGCUUUUAUUUGGUUUUAAAAUUGUAUUCGAGUGAAUGAUGAUACGUGCACUGGGCUCUGAGCGGAUUUUUCACCGCGUUUAUUGAUGGAAAUGCAGGCUAGAAAGCUUUAUCUGAUCUUACAUUUGCUUACUUUGCGUUGCAACCUUGAUUAUUGGAUUAUAAUUUAUGCAUUAGCUUUUCUUUUUUAUUAUAUUUCGUCAUUCAUGGCUGCGUAUUGACUUGCAAUCUUAUCACUGUUUGUAAUUGGUGGGCUUGAACAAUAUAGUUUUUAUUUUUGGUUUGCUAAAAACCUUUUCUGUUAUGAUGAUGGAUUUUGGUUGAUGAAUUGUUAAAGUAAUUACUUGCUCGGAUAACUGUUCUCAAAAUGUAUAACCUUUGCUGUUAUGAUGAUGGAUUUUGGUUGAUGAAUUGUUAAAGUAAUUACUUGCUCGGAUAACUGUUCUCAAAAUGUAUUUGUAUAGUACAAAAAAUGUUUUUAUUUACUUAAUCUUGUAUUAUAAACUUUUCAUAGGUUUUAGGUUCUGUAGUUCAGUCAGUUAAUAGUAGCUUUGCCUUCUUCUUUUUUGUUAAUAUGUUUUUGGUAUAGGCUUUUGCCCAAUGAUGGAAAACUCAUUAUGUGGAGUGGUAGCAUGGAUAUUCGUUUUGAGUCUCUACAUUUAUCAUUACUGUUGUAAUCAUCAUCAUCAUCAUCAUCAUCAUCAUCAUCAUCAUCUCUCUCUCUCUCUCUCUCUCUCUCUCUCUCUUUCCCUCCCCCCUUUUAGGUCAACUGCUAAGCUACAUAUAAUGUAACUUAGCAGCUGCUUUCUUUCUUUCUGAUAUCUUCUUGUUACAAUGGAUAAUGAUGGGUAAAGGCUCUUAACGAACCCAUUCCGCUAAACCAUCAAUGACCAGUAUAGCUAUGAGAUCUGAGGGCUAUUUAAUUUUUUAUUUAUUUCAUCUACUUUGGAUGUCAUUUCAUUGCCUUCUGACUCUUUCCCUACUGUCAUCCUUUUCAGUAUAUGUUCUAUAUCUCAAGUUUGAAAUCUACAGCUUCAACAAUGAUGGAAACUCGUUAAGUCUAGUGAGUGCAUUGGUUUUUGUUAUUAGCCUCCAUUAUCACUUUUCUACCUCCUCUGGAUCGUUGUUGUAAAUGUUGUUGUUGUUGUUGUUGUUUAUUGUUGACUAUAUCUUUGGAGGUAUGGAUUGGCUUUUAAUGAGAAUCAUGAACUUCACUGUCUAUAAAUUGACUUAUGAGAUCUGAGGCUUCAAUGAAUCCUUUUGUUACUUCUUUCUUCUUUCACUAACUCUUUCUUUAUGUUUAUUUUGCGUCGAUUUUUUUUCUCAUAUUGUUUAUUUAAGUUAUGAGCAUUUAAUUUGAAUAAACACUUUCUCAUAUUGUUUAUUUAAGUUAUGGGCAUUUAAUUUGAAUAAACACUUUGUGCAGUGCCAUCUAGUUGAGAUGGCAAAAUCUCUUAUGUGAAAACAAGAGAUCUGAGAAUUGGACCGCUUCACAUGGGUGGAGAGGGGGUUGAAUCACCAUUAGGCUGAAUAAUAAAAUAAAAAGUGAUGAGCAUUUAAUAGUCAGUUUUUGGAAUUUUGUGAAGACUUGUGAGUUUUUUAUUUAUGCUGUUCCAUUCUUAACUCAUAUUUUAUCAUUCAUGUAAUGUUUAUAAUCAAUCUUCUCAAGCGUAACAUGUAAUGAUUUUAAUCAAUCUUCCCAACCAUUAAGUGUGACUUAGGUGAUUUUAGUUAAAAAUAUUUUCUGAUUCCAAUUCUUUCUGAUUGCAAUCUAUUCAUAAUCAUGGAACUUCCAUUUUUUCUUCCUCUUUUGCUCUACCUGCAGCUAUCUUUUUUUGCAUAAUGUGCUUUUAGUUUGAGAUUCAGUCUGCUAUGGCACUCAAUCAUCUACCAUUCCGGUUCCAGUUUCUGAUAUCAAUGUGAAUCAAUCUAGUGCAAUAAAGUAUUUUUAUUGUCAAAGUUGACCUUUGUACUCCUGAUACAUGCCUGCCUUGUGCUUGAAAUUUUAUCAAUUAAAUUCCUGUGCGUUAUCGGUUUAAGUUCAUGAGCACUUUGAUAGUUGAGAUAAGCGACUCAUUUGACAAGGUUAGUAAUGACCCUCUGUUUAGUCCAUGUUAUAUCUCAGUAACAUUCUGUCAAAAUUGGAAAUUUUCAAACUGACUAUUCCUUCUGAAACUGUCUUGUUUGGCUGCUCCAGUUUGAUUAGUUGGUUUUGGUUAAGUUUUUGUUUGUCAGGCAUUCAUGCUUCUAUACCUUAGAUGAUUGUCAACUCUGGUGUUUUGUUUAUGAUUUGCUAAUCGUCGAAAGAUGGGUUAGAUUGUUUACUAAUAUACCCUUAAAAAGGGUUUUACCAUUGUAAUAUUUUGCAUCUGCCCAAUGAUGGAAACUCGUUGUGUUGUUUGGUGGCUUUAAUUUUCAUUGUGAACCCCAUCUUUGCUGCCACUCUAUGCUAUCAUUCAUUGGUGCAAACUUUUGCUGCUGGUGCUUUUGGUUCUUCUUAUUCUAAUUCGUAAUCAUCUUUUUCUUCUUCUUCUUCUUCUUCUCAAUUAUUGUUGUUAUUAUUAUUAUUAUUAUUAUUAUUGUGGUUAUUGUUAUCACAAUUGAUGGUGGUGGUGGGUGGUAGCUAUGGUGCUCAUCUGAUCACCAUUUAAGAUGUGGAAUGGCUUGCAGUGAAAAUCAUAACCUUCUGCAUGAACUGACUUGCAAUGAGAUCUGAGGGCCAUGCUACUUCCUUUUGAGUUUGUAAAAGAUUGCGUAGUAAUUCUUUUGAGCAUGGGAGUCUUUUUUAUUUUCAUUUACUUCAUCAAUUUAAUCUGUUUUUAGUUAGUUUUCGACCUUGCAGGGUAUUGGACUCUUGGCCCUUCCAGUUGGUACCACAAUGAGUUAUUUGCGGAGGUUUCCUUUGUGGCAAUGUGAUUACAGAUCAUUGUAAAUCUUUAGCAAAAUAAUAGCAAGAGUUCAAUAAAGAACUGACAAAUUUUUAACGGUUAUUUUCAUUUUUCCAAUGCUCCUCAUUAUUUGCACUAAGUGUUAUAUUAUUCAUUGUUUUUGGUGCCUCAUUUGAAUAAAAUUCUAUUCCAAGUUUACCUAAUCUUUAAAUAAGUACCGAGAUUGACAAAUGAUAUUGCUUAUGAACUAAAAUAAUUGAAAAUUCAUUCUGAAUGUUAUUAAUAUGUAGCUUCAGGACAUUGGUACAAGCUUCGAUAGCGGCAACUGAAUAUUAGCAUACCCAUAAUUGUAAAUUUCCUAAUGAUAUCGCGAAAAGAGUUUUUUUUAAAAAAAAGUGUAGCUUCUCAAGUAAAGUAUCUUUUAGCAGGAGAUCGGAAUUUUAUUUUUUUUUUUCCAUUUCGCAGAAACUUGUGAAUUUUGGUUUUUUGAAAAGAAUAAGUGAAUAACUACGACUAUUAUUAAAUCUUAUGUUAUUUGAAAACUGAAAACUGAAAGUUAAAAUGGUAUCAUAUCAAAUCAUCAAUAUGUAGUUUGGUGUUAAGGAGACGCGUCUCUGCGGUUCUGCUGCUGGGGUAGGCUAGUAGCACACUGAGAAAAAAGUAAACACAUAUGCAGUAAAUGAAAAAAAAAAAGAAAAAAAGAGGAAAAGGUAAAUAACAAAAAGAAGCCAAACAGGGUCUUAAAAGCUAAAAAGCCCUGAAAUCCCUGCCUGCUGGCUGCUGCAUUACAUACGUUUCCUAAAGCAACAGAGACAAACGUUUUCCCGCCACGGGGAGAUGGUGGUGCUAGAGGCGAAGAGUCUGCGAAAGGCAGAGGUUCCGUUAUCUCUGAUUGAGAAUCCAUCUCCUGGAAACAUUCAGUGCACCCGCCUCGCUCUCCACGUAAUUCAUUCAUUCCCUCUCUCCCUCUCUAUUCAAUUUAAUUCUCUCUCUGUUCCGUCUGCGUUUAAUAAUAAUCUUUUCUUUCUUUUCGCAGGUUAAUGAGGACGGCUGCUCUUGUUUUGUCUACAUUGCUUCUGGUUGCCACCUCUACAAGCUCCAGGUUCCUUUAAAGAUAGUUUUAUUAGUUCAUUUCUUUUAGCUGUUAAUUUUUUAUUUUUUAUUAUUAUCUAUUUUUCUCUUGUAGGUUAUGAUGGAUGAUUGGUUUGUUAGUGAAGGCAAAGACAGUCUCUUGAUUCCUGAACAGACACCGGUACUUCAAGCUAUCAGUUUAUUUUCCAUUUGUUGCCUUUCCCCUUUUUCCUUUUAAUAUCUAUUUAUUUUUUUUUUAAUUUUAUAAAGGUCAUGGAUUCUUCAAUGCUUAACCGAUGUCCCCAUCGUUCAGAAGUUCAGAGUAUAGCCCUUGCUGAGACUGAUAGUGAGUGACUUGUGUUUACCUUGAUAGCGUUGAUUUCUGUACUCCGUCUUAGAGUUGAACGUUUUUUACAUAUUUUUGAUUCAUCAUUAUCUUCUUGACAAUGUUUUAGAUGAUUUCUUUUUUAAAUUGUUCUCUAUUGUCACCUUAUGCCUUGCAGGUAGUGGUUAUAUGGUUUUGGGAAGUGUGGAUUCUUAUGGUCACCUUAUUGUCUCUAAGCUGGAUACCAGUGGUAAAGGUACCUGUUGUCUUAAUCUUUGUUAUGGCAGGCAUUGCCUAAUCCAAAUGUUUACAAUGCAUAUGCAAUGUUCUUUACAUGUGUAUGUUGGCAAUUAUCUAAUCGUUGCAUGUCUCAGAGGAAAAAGAUAUGAAGUUGGAUUUUUUGUCUUACUCAACAAUCUGGUGGCUGCAGGCACAAUGUUGUUGUAAUGUUUCGUUAAAUUUUAUUUUUUUGAUUUUAGACAAUGUUUUAAAUUCUGUCCACGUUAUGCCUUGCUAAAUUUACAGAGUUCAAUUGUUUGUGUGCAUUUGUCCCAUUGUCGUAUAAAUCUUUCCAUUGUUCUCUGAAUGAAAUUUUGUCAAGCAUAAUUUUACCAAUUUUGAGGGACAUAUAAUGCUUUUCUUCAUCUCGUUGAUUGAAUUACAAGGCUAUAGCUGAAUGUAUUUCCAUUAUUUGUUUUUCUGGUGGUUUCUGCUUCAUUUUUACCACUUGAUUUGGUUUUGUACCUGUAAAACUGCUUAUCAAUGUGUGGCACUGAAAUUUUCAGAUGUGGACAGGCUUACAUAUUCAGUGUUGCCUCAGGAUUGUGGUGUUGGAGAAGGUAGUUGGUCGGGGCUUUGCUUCAGUCCAAGUCAAUGGUCCAUGGUACCUAGCUUCUUUUAUAAACUAAUUUGCUAAUUAUUUCAUUUUAAAAUGUGUAUCUUUUGCUUGGAUUGAAGUUCUUUUUCUUUCUCUCUCUCUUUUUGUAUAAUUUAAACUCAAGUUAUACAUCCUUUUCAACUGAUUAGUCUCUAAUUCUAGGCAGCUGUUGCACGUAGCUUCAGCAAAAGCAUUGAUGUUUAUGACCAAGAUAUCCAUCUUCGGACUUUACGUACGUAAGUAUAACUGAGGAAGCUGCCCCUUUCCUCUCUCCCAUUUCUUUUUCCUUUUGGCUAAUAAAAAUUUAGUAGUCUAUCUGCUUUAUUAUUCUUAAAUAUCUUCAUCAACCUUCUGUUUGGUUUUCUUGUUUCUGUCCUGGACUUUCCUUUUUUUGUGUAUUAUGUUGUGUUCUUCUAGUAGUGGCUUACUUUGACAACAGUGGUAUUCGACAUUCUUCUGUUCUUCGGUAGUACAUGAGAUCAGGUUUAUUUGUGUUGAGUAACUAUUUGUACUGAUUUUCCUGUUUACACAUUCUGAUUUAGAUAACUAUAUUUCAGUCUCUGGUAUCCGUCAUCAUUGAAUUUCAUACAAAAUUUAAGUCCUGUAAAUGGAGGUCCAAAUAUGUUAGCAGUUACUGAAGGCUGUCAGGUAAAUUUUGUGACUUUCUUAUAUUAAGUGUUCUUAAUAAAUAAAAUGAACUUAUGCUCCUCUAAUCUAUAUCUUCUUUCGUGCCGGUCUUCACUUUUCGAAAUUGCUGCAGCUAACUAUAUGGGAUUUGAGAAUGAAAGAAAAUGGUGGUUGUCUACAUCGAAUUUGUGGUUCUGUUGGCGAUAUCUUGUAUGCUGUUUGCAGUUCGUCAACGGGUAAUAUUGCAGUUGCUGGGGCUGACCGUACUGUGACCAUUUAUGAUCCUCGCAGGUUGGACAUCAUUAGAUUGGUUGAACUACGCAUAUCACACGUUCUAAUUUGUGCAGUCUUGUUUGAAUUCUUAUGAGUACUAUAUGUUUAUUGUUGAUGAUUUUGUAUAUCAGAAUACUAAUUAGCAGAAAAUGGAGAUACAAUAUACAUCACCUCGAACUGAAAUUGAUCCUAACUUCUAUUUAUAUCUUGUAUCUAGAUGGUCAGCACUAUCACGAUGGGUGCACUGUUCAAAAUAUGAGGUCAGUCGAUUUAUCUGACGACCUUCUGCUAAUUGGUUGUUGUCAUUUUUUAGUUCUUUUCCAGUUAGCCCGUAUGGAAAAUAAGGACAGACUUGGUUCAUCCAAUCAAAUGUUGUUUAAUUUGUUUAAUUUGUUUAACUUGGCAUUAGCCGUGAACAACAUAGGAUAUACCUGCAAUUUCUUCACCAUAUUCUAUUGUUGCCAUUGUACUCAGUAAAUUCCACUUUUCAUUUGACUACUGAACUUUUGUGGGAUAUAGCAUUGCAGCUAGAGAUUACCGUUCUUUCCUUUUUGGCAUUGCAGAUAACUGGACUUUCUUUUUCAUCAAUUGACUCCAAUUACAUCUAUGUGCAAGGGGUUGAUUAUGAGGUGAUUAUGAAAUUUUUAAAUCUAUUCUUUCUUUUCUCUGAGUUCUUCUUGUACUCAAUAAUUUGAGCUUCAUGUACAAGCUGCUCAUUUCAACAUUCGAUUGCUCAAUUUAUUAUUAAAUUACCUGUGAUUUGUUUUGAUGUUAUUUAAUUUGAAGCUAAGUUCAUAUCAUUUUUCUUCUUGUUAAUAAAAUAAGAAGAUACCCAUAAAGCAAGCUUGCUUUUGUUUCCUUAGUUCCUGACUGCCACUUUGAUGGUAGGUACUUGACUACUUGGACCAAUUAUAACAUGUAGAAUGAUUAGACUGUAGUGAUCAUGUGGCAUGCAGUUGUGUGGAUUCAGGAAAGAAAUUGUGGGGUGAGGUGAAUCAGUUUUAAGUGUGCAUCCAGUGCUAGAUUAAUAGCAUAAAGAAUAACUUUUCAUUGCCAAGUUUUUCUCUUAUCAAGUUCAGUAGAAGAACUGAUGAUGUUUCAGUAGUUUGGGUACUAAUAUGCAAAAAACACAUAAUGUGGAAUAUCUUUCUCGAUUUUUGAUUGCUUUAAUUGCUCUGAAAUAACAACAUAUAUCACAGGUCUUUUGUGGACAGUGGAGAGAGAGCAGUAAGGUAUUUGCUUUUAGAGGAGACUCAAACUGGCUCGGGUUCAGUAAGGUAUUAGAUUCUUCUGAAUUCACCGUGUCUGCAGUCCAUGCAUCACAGAAACUAGCCUCUGAUAGCCUCAAAUGAUGCUGAUACCAUGCAUUCAAUUUAGAGUGCAUUUGUUUUUUUUUCUUUUUCUUUUUUUGUUUUCCCCUCUUUAGGUGAUCUUCGAUGGAAAGAGGAAAAUUUAUUAAUUGAAAUAAAAUAAAAAUUGACAGUGGUGGUGCUAAAGCAAAGUUGGAAAAGUUGUCCCGACUUACAGGUUCAUGUGCUAAAGCAUGCUUUCUCUUUCAGUUUGAAGCUAAGAUUGAUUGCUAUUAUGAAGAAUAUUAUAACUUUUGUCCAUGCCUAUAUAUGAUGUGGCGGUAAAUAAACUUGUAGAAACCAAAGGUGUAAUUUAUUCAGAGAUGGUUAGCAAAGACAUUGACUCAGAACUGAGCAGUGAGAUUGUUUCAGUUCUGGAAUUGAAUUAGUUAUGAUGAGAGCUUAUAGUAUUGAUAUAGGAAAAAUGCCGAUAAUCUCACAGCUUUAGUUGUUAUUUCUUGUUGGCAGUGCUCUAACAGGGAUGUAUUGGGUGGAUGGUCAGAUUCGGGGAGCAUCUUUGUGGCUGAUGUUGUAGCUAAAGAGAAUGAGAUAAGCGCGUUGAAAGGUCUCGUCAAUUGAUAUCCCUAGUGGUUGUUCAGCUAUCUUCUAAUACCUAAGUUGCUUUUCACUUGCCACAUGUCCAAGUUUGAUAAAUCAGGGGCCUCUCUUAGCAUUUCCGCAAGCUGUCAUUUCAGGCAUUGACACAUGCUCCAGUCAAGCAUUCAAUUAACUGAUGAUCUCAUUCCACAACGAAAAUACAAGUAGUCGUUUGUGGUCAUUCAUUUCUUGUCUUCCUGAUAUGUAGCAUGAUUUCAGUUUGGUCUUUAACCAUCCAAGCUGGGGUCAGCCUAAGGUAAGGAUCUGAUGUCUUGGACAUUUACAUGUAUGUUGUGUAUUUUGGUUAAGCAUCUUUAUCUUGAGCCAAGUGAACAGUAUUCACAAAUGCCAAAAAAAGAAAGGUUGAGAAAAAAAUGGAGAAGAAAAGUGAGGUGAGAUGUAACUUGAUUGUAUGGAAGAAGACUGCUUGAAAUUUGCAAUCCUCCCAAGUACUUUUCACCGAUUUCAUGGUCACUUUAACUGUCAAUUUUGAAAUUUGCAGUCCUCCUAUUACUUUUCACCGAUUUCGUGAUCAUUUCAACCGUCAACAGAUUUCUUUCUUGUAAGUUAUAACUUAGUCAAUAAGAUCUUUCCACUGAUAUAAUUGUUUCAAACUUUCAAUGAUUCAGUCAGCAGGAAUCCAUUGUUGUCUGGAGAAAUUCAUGGCUUUUCUUGGGUUUCUCUUUAGACAAUUUGUUCCUGAAUAAACUUUCACGUGGUCUCAUUCUCUUUAAUGUCGCCGCGGAUCCUGGAAUUUCUUUAUCUUUUAACCUUUAAUUUCCCUUUAUUCAGUUUGCUACAGAGGUGGAACACAGAGGAAUAUAAAAAAAGUUAACCCCAGUAUCUGCUUGGGAGCCUGAAUGGUAGUUGUAAGAUUCCAAAACUUUAUUGCGCUUUACUUGCACUCUUUUUUGAGCGUUUAGAUUUUGUGGGAUUCAAGUAGAUGACCAUGACUGCUGAGAUUAGAACUUGUGGACUCUGGCUAGGCUGUGUUGUUGUUUUAUUUAUUUAUUUUUUUUUUAGUGUUUCAAUAAUUCAAUUUUGGGACUCAUUCAAAGUCAAGCUCAGGACUCUCUGGUUGGUCAUUUUAGGAGUGACCAGAAGAUAGGGUCCCAUUUUUGAGAUCAUCAUCAGUUAAGUCAGCAUCCCUACUGACUGCUACUUUAAUUAAUAGAUUACAAUUUCAUUUGGCAAUAAUUUAAUGUACCAAUUUCAUUGGGGUUCUGCUUGACUUCGUGACAAACAAUUUCCGCCUCAUGAAUUAUGAUGUCGAACAUUAAAAAGCAAAAGAAUUUUGGAGUGGAUGAUUCAUUUUUUGGAUAGACCUCUGGCUAUCUCAUUAAUCUUUUUCAAAAGUAAAAAUUGCACAAUAUUCAGGCAUGAAAGUGCUUGUUUCCUUGUAAUCAGUAAUUACUGUCAUCCUCGUGAUUAUAUAUGUUUCCUUCAGGAUUUGGAUCUAUUUCUUACCAUCAAUAAUUAAACUUGAUUGUGUUUAAUAAUUGCUUGAAUUAGGAGUGUCAUUUAGCCGAAAAGCAUGAUCUCAAAAAAUUGGAGCGACCAUGAUCGAGGUACAAACGUCCUACUUCCCACCCAUAGCAAUUGACUAAUAAUAGUACAAGAAAUAAACUAAUAAUAAAUAAACUAGAAGUGGGUAUCUCAUUUGCAAGGCAUGACAUGGACAAGUUACCAUAUUCAGACUUUCGGGCGAGAUGAAUCUUGAUUCCCAAGUUGAAGAAAGAAGAAUUAAGAAAUUUAUAUGUAAUCAUGCGCAUGUGAAAUAUCUAAUGUCAUCAUUGCGGAUUAGAUAGUAAUUCUUUGAUUUAUUUUUAUUAUUAAGUUUGGUUUCCUCAACUGUGGGAGAUACUUUUAAAUUUGUACCACAAUUCAGAUUAGAAGUCUCCGCUCGAAUCGAGAGGUACAAGUUCUCCCAACAAAUGUGACUUCCAUGCGACUCAAACUGAAGAGCAAAUCUAAUCAAACUACUUAAAAAGACUCCAUUACUAAUAGAACCAACACUUUAUUGGUACCCCUUAAUAGUUUAAAUAACAUUUUAAGGACCACCAAUUAUGAGCCCUAGCAAUAGUAUUUAAUUUAAUUGGUCCACAACUUUUCACUUCUUUAUUACGGUGAUGUUGAGAUGUGUGACUGUUUUUCUUGUUACCAGGGACAAACAUAUUUACUUUUUUUUUUUUUUUUUUAAUCUCUUGGGUGAAGAAUAAUAAAUUUAUCAUUGAAAUGAGAACCGCCAAACUCAAUACCUCACAGUCAAAUGUCAGCCUUUUCUAGUUCUGGUAGUGGUGGGCAGGCACGUUAAUAAUAUUAAAAAGUCUAAAUAUUUCUUUUUUAAAUUGAAACCUUUCACGUGCAAGAAUAGAAUAUCAUUACAAUUUUAUAUCUUCGGAUGAAUUAAUAUGUUUCCUUCUUAUGCGGGCUUUACGUUUGUAAUAAUCAAAUUGUUUAUUAUUGUAUGCGUUAUGAUUGCAAGUUCUACAUUAAAAAAUUCUUAAUUUUGUAGUUUUGGUAAUAUAAUAAUUAAUAAGUCAAAAAAUUGAUAUUUGUGAAGGUAAAAGUUGAAAAUAGAAAUCAUUCGCUAGAAAAAAAAAAGAAAAAAAAGGUUAGGUCUUUAGCUUGUUCCGUAAUUUGUUCAUUCAUUAUAUUAUUGUAUAUGAAAUUAAGAAACAUUGUGAGAUGUUAUCCCAUUGGUUUCUUCGCGUCAUUAAUUUAGAUAAUAUUUCAAUGACUCCUAGGGCCAUAGUAUUUAUACAUACGUUCAAGCAUGCUAUAUAUAUAUAUAUAUAUAUAUUUCCAUUGAAUAAUUAAUUUGAGAGUUAGAUGAGAAUAUUGAAUAAUUCUUUUAUUAGCUGACAAGUUUGACCAAAUCAGACUCCUUCGAUGUAUUGGAGAAAAGAUUUCUAGGGACCAGGGACCUUUCAUGUGCACUGCUGACUGCACCGGUGGUAUAUUGAAGACUUCGAACUUGAAGGAUCAAUAACCCUUAUUUUGGACCAAAAAUUUAAUUCUGUUUGGAAUCAUUCACAAUAAUUACGUGAAUUUGUAGUAGUCCCUUAAUUAUUACAAACACUAAAUUGCUAAUCUACAAUCUACAACAAAAGGGGGGAAAUUUAUUAAUGUUUCCACAACUCCUGUGUUUGUAUGUUAUUUUUUACUCUAUUAAAACUUACGUGAAAGUAAUAAAAUAUGCACUGAUAUAUCUUUAUUACAAUAUUAUAAUAAGCUGCGAGUAACAUAUAUAUAAACUCAACUUGUUAUCUUUCAGUAUGUCAGUAUCAUGAGAUUAAGUCACAGCUCGCCUGGUCGCCCAGAUGAUGUCUACUGUAUACGUAACGAGGGCAACUAUGAAAAAAAAAAAAAAUUGAGAAAAUUUUAGAAUAAUUAGGACAGUAUAAAGCAGGCAGGGAAAAAGAAUCUGCAUAAUAAUAAUAAUAAUAAUAAACAAAAUUUAUUUCUGUCUGCAGCAUGCUUUUUAUUUAUUUUGGGGAAAAAAAAAAACAUUAUCACAUUCUUCUGCUUUAGCUGUGGCUGACUGGCUGUCGGUAUAUUUAUUAUUUAUGCAACAGCUGCGUUGAACCAAACCAAAGAGUCUAUCCAAGAUUAUCAACUCAAGACCACACGUUUGAUGAUGCAGUUGUUAGUUUUUUGAUUAAGAAGAGAGAGUCUCUUCUGUCAUAUUCUAAGCUCCUGUUAUUAUCACAUUCAUAUUAAUUAAUUAAUUAAUUUAUUUUUUUCUUUCUUAUUAUAGUUAUAGAUAAUAUGUUGCCAUCAGAAUCUAUAAUUGCCAGUCUUUUUGUUGGUAGCUGUCUUAAUCAUGUUAUUUUUUUACAACUUCCAUUAUAAUAAUAAUUUGAAUAGUGUGCCCCGUGCAAUGGAUGUUUGGGAUUCUCACCGCCCAAGACAAAAAAUUUGAGAUUUUAAUGCUAUUUUGAUUUUAAGGAAGAAGAGGAUAAGAAAUUACCAUAUAUAUACACACACGGGUUUCUUUCUAAAUUAUUAUCUGAAUCUGAAUCACUGAAUGUCUUCAAAUUAUUAAGAGUCCCGUGGCCACAUACUUUCACUCUAUCAACUCUUUACCGCCUCAAGAACACUUGGAAGUUUGAAUUUGUUAGUAUUCACUAUUUUGAAUAAUAACAUAGAUUCAAUAUUUCUAUUUUUUUCUUAAUACAUAUUGCGAUUACAAUUAUUGUUCAUAAAAGGGAAAAUAUUAAUUUAUCUAUUUAUAAUUAGUAUUUAUUCAUUUAUUUUUGCAAAAAAGACAUAUACGUUUAAUGGUUGGGUUUAGAGAUUUAAAAAUGAAAUAUUUUUGUUUUUAAAUCAAAUUCUUUGACAUUGGGAUGCAUUCAUUUGUUUUUGUCAAUCCAACGAGUUUACAAAAACUUUGAAAAUGCAGUAACAAAUAUUUACUCUUCAACUUCAAUAACAUUAUUACUCAAAUAUUUAGAAUAAGAUUAUGGUAUUUUUAAAGAUACUAUACUCAAAUUUUGGAUAUCGUCAAAUAGUUAAAUAAUUUUGAUACCUAAACUAUAUAGUAAUAUGAUCUGAACCGUUGAUUAAAAUAGAUGAAAUAGAUGAACUGAUAACAAAUUGUGUUUCACGACUCCAUCAUUAAUUUUACAAAUACCAUAACUCAUAAGUUCACAGCACAAUGCAACACAACCACAAAAAAAUAAUAAUAAUAAUAAAUAAAUAAAUAGAACUUUCAUUUAAAAAAAAAAUUACAUAAUGGCAAUUUCAAUUUUCGUCAACACAACAGCUUCUAGACGAAAGAAUCAGACCAGGACCAAUUCCCUCUAUCCCCGUUACGCGCCAACGUAGACUCAGCUGAACCUGCCACGUGUACAUACAAAAUGACUGCGUCCUAGCCAUUAACGUCUCCGCACGUGUAACCCAUCCGAAGACCUAGCACUGUUCAUCAGACAAGGACAGCGCGUUUCCAACCAACGGCCCGGAUCUCGUCACAUCCCGCGUGUCCGCUACGUGUGCGCUGCGUGUAAAAGCUUGACACGAUCUUUAAUUUCACCAAAAUUUUGUAAAUUUUAAUUUAUCGGCUCACAUGCAGAGAGAGAGAGAGAGAGAGAGAGAUGAAAAAUAAUGAAGGCCAAUUUUCUAAUAAUGGUAAUAAUUUAAUUAUCCGUUCCUUUCUGACCUUUCUCUUUUCAACCACCAUAAAACGCGGUCCAAAUAUCCCCAAUAUAAUGCCGUCUCCUUGCGUUAGGGUUUCUCAAAAUUCAUCCACCAUCAUUCUUUCUCUCCUUAAAACAAAAAUAUUCAAAUAAAAUAUUUUUAAUGUGAGAGAGAGAGACAGAGAUGCCCGCUACUACGGAUUCAUCAGCAGCGGCUUCUUUCACCAACAUCGGCCGUUCAAUUUUGAGUCUCCGACGCGAUCAGGUCCAUUCGAUUGAAGGGAUGAAUAUGCAACACCACGACGCCGACACUGAGCUGGAAUCCUUCCAGAAAAGAGUCACCGAUCGCUUUCUCGACUUGUCGUCGUCAUCGGACGAGUUGUUGACCCUCUCCUGGGUCCAGAAGCUUCUUCAGUCGUUUCUGAUUUCGCAAGACGAGUUCCGUCAAAUUCUAUUUAGAAAUAAAUCGCAGCUGCAUAAGCCGCCCAUGGAUCGGUUGAUUGCCGACUACUUCGAGCGGAGCGUGAAAGCGCUUGAUGUUUGUAAUGCCAUUCGGGAUGGGAUUGAACAGAUUAGACAGUGGCAGAAACUCAUUGAGAUUGUGCUCAUCGCAUUGGAUAACAAGAAGUUAAUCGGUGAAGGCCAUUUUCGUCGCGCUAAGAAGGCCAUGGUCGAUUUGGCCAUUAGCAUGUUAGAUGAAAAAGAAUCCGGUUCUGCUUUGGCCAACCGGAACCGUUCGUUUGGGCGAAACAAUGUGAGAGACAAUCUUCAUAAGUCAUUGGGUCAUUUUCGAUCGUUGUCUUGGAGUGUUUCGAGGUCUUGGUCCGCGGCUAGGCAGCUACAGGCCAUUGGGAACAAUUUGAACGCUCCUCGAAGCCAUGAGAUUAUGGCGACCAAUGGGCUUGCGAAUUUAGUUUUUACCAUGAGUUUCGUUUUGUUGUUUGUAAUGUGGGCUCUUGUGGCUGCAAUCCCGUGUCAGGACCGCGGAUUGCAGGUGCAUUUCUCCAUGUCUAGGCAGUUCUCUUGGGCGGCACCGAUGUUGAUGUUGCACGAGAGAAUUAUGGAGGAGUCGAAGAAAAGGGACAGGAGAAAUGCUUCUGGGUUGUUGAGAGAGAUUUAUCAGAUUGAGAAGAGCACUAGGCUGAUGAAUGAGUUGUUGGAUUCAGCUCAGUUUCCGAUCACAGAGGAGAAGGAGGGGGAGGUUAGGCAAAGAGUGCAGGAAUUGUCGAUGGUUUUUGAAUCGAUAAAGGGGGGAUUGAACCCUCUGGAGGGACAAGUGAGGGAGGUCUUUCAUAAGAUUGUGCGUAGCCGAACUGAGGGUCUUGAUAGUUUGGGAAAAGGGAAUGGUCCUGAUUAGUUUUUGAUUCGGAAAUUGAUUAUAGGUAUCCAAAUGUGAAAAUUUGCAAAUGGGGUUUUCAUUUUCUCUUUCGGGAAUGCCAGGAUGAUGAAGAUGUAAUUGAAGCUGGCACUGAGAAUGCAAAAAAAUAAAAAAAAAAUUGUAAGGAGGAAAAUUUUCUUUUGUAUUUAUUAGCAUAAAUUGUGUAAAGAAAGUAGGAUGUGGAAUUGGACCAUCACAGUCCAUGGUGCCGUUGUCCAUCUUUUGUGUUUCUAUUGUAUAAUCAAGUUUCUUAGUAAAUUGCAUCUUGUUUUUGUAGUUGAUUUUUGUUUUCAAUUUUUGUUAAUGAUACAUACAAUUUUUUUUGAAAGAGCUAGAUGCUAUUGUAACUUUCUUAUCACAUUUUGUUUUUUAAUGCAAUGACAAGUUCCUCAUGCUAUCAGACGAGUCUCCGUUGUUUGUUAAUCUUUUCUAAUGAAGAUGAAAUCGGCAAAUAUAAUGGUCCUCUGUCUUAUUCAUUUUCAGAAUUUCAGUUACCUUUUGUGUUGAAAGAAGAAUAAAGAAUUUAAUUUGAAAUUCUCCUUCGGCUUAGAUUCUGACUGCAAUAUAUUUCAUGUAAGAUGGUGUUUUCUUUUCAAUACCACAAUGGCCAGUCUUAAACAUUCCAUUUUCCAGAACCUUUCAAUUUUGCACUUCAAUUUCACAAGGCUCUGAUUCAAAGAAUCAAUAUUUUCCAUUAUUUGUUUGUGCUACUACUCCUUAACUAGAACGACACUUUGUCGCAUUUUCUUACCUUUGAUUUAUGCUGUUGGUAAGAGUUUCCUCUUGUAUCUUUGUUCAGCAUCUUUAUUACAUUUGAUUUGUGCUGUUGGAAGGCUUUGCCUGUUUAUCUUUGGUCAUUUCUAGGUAAGAUUUAGACCUCAGGUAACAUUAAAUUGUUUAUCCUGCUUACAGUAAAGCAUUAGUUUGGUUGAUUUCUGUGAGCUAGUGUUAUUCAAACUAACAAGAUGAGUAUAGCCAUAGUUGACAUACCUGCACAUUUGUGAUUUUCUUGUGGUAUACAUAAUUGCCAAGGCCAAUAUUACACACUUCUGUGUAUGGCACCAGAAAAUACCACGUCCAAUUCUAUGAAAUAUGAAUUCAAAUGUCAAUACCAGGAAAUUGGUUCAAGUUAUUUUUGGAGUUGGCCUCACUGGCUUCAAUAUUUAAUGUUAACUGUAGGCUUGCUCUAUCGAUAACACAUUUCUCCAUUACAGGAUUGUGCCACUGGUGAUUGUUUUCACGGUUAUCAGGAGCCACUUCUAUGCUUUUUCAAUGGUUUCCCAUAAAUAUCUCAGUUAUUACAGUAAUUGCCAGAAAUUUCUUUGCGUGUCGGCAAGAUGACUUAUCUGCAGUCAAGAAAGAGCUGCAUGGAUACGCUUGUAAAAUCUCUGCUCAACUAAUUUCUUUUGUGGUGUAUAAGUCAGUUGUUACUCUUGUUUCUGAUCAUCAAGAAUCUUCUUUGCUAUUGUUUUAGGCCAUUCUUGAUAGAUUAAGGCAUCUCUGCUGUACCCAGCUGGGCCAAUAUCUUAAAUGCUGAAUGGUUUUGCUCUUAGCCCCAAGUGGAUCAAAAUUUUUCUUCUAAGCACUUCCUUUCUUUAUCUCUGAUAGGUCAAGGGACCCUUAUCCAAACAGAAGUUCUUUUGACAUGCAUCAUAGCAGCUGCAUGGUUGGUGGAACAUAACAUCCCUGGAAAAGUUGCAAAUUUGAGCCACAUUUUCGAUGCAAAUGGAGAGGCUGCCAAAGAAAAUGGCCUUGGUGGUUACGGAGUUCGGUUUGUUGUCUUUCCAGGUCAUGAAACCAAAUCUUUAAUUUCUGAAAGCUCUUGGUUUCUUUUCCUGGUCAAACUUGGCCCUUACUGUAAAUGUCGUAUCUAGUGAGAAUUCGCAUCUUCUACUCUGAAAUAAAUGUCUUAGCUAGUGAAGUUUAAAAACUACAUAAAAUUUAGCAUGUUUCAAUCUAUAUAAUAUCUGAACUCAAGCAAAUAAAACUUUAAAUCAAUUAACUCAUCAAUUAAAAUAUUAAAGGCAGAAAGUGAAGUAAUUGCAGAAACUUGUCUUGAAUACCAUACCGCAAUAGCAAAUACAUUACUCAUAAUAAUUUUCUUCAGGGAAUCUUUAAAAUAAAAACUCAAUACUAGGAAAAGAAAUAUUACGUCAUUCAUUUAUGACAUUUCGUUAAAUCAAAGCAUUGCUCUUUGAAGCUUGAGAGUCUUGAAAUGUAAAUGGAAAUCCUGUUAAGUUUAACUUCAAAUGAGAUUAAUCUCCCUCUGUUCGAAAUGUUAAGUGAAGUAAGAGAAUGAAUUUAAACAAAACAUUUGUUUCGAAUUGGUGAAAUCCCUCUUGAUUUAUAUAUAAUUUUUUUUUUCAUUUUGCUUUUGAAAAUACAAAUUAUUCUAUAUAUACAUAUUUUGCAUUUGAAAAUGCAAACUAUUCAAUUGUAGCUUAGAUAGGGAAAAUAUGUAAAGACUAAUUUACUUAUUAUCACUGUCACAACAUAAGGCUUACAAAUUGAAGUGCUCUACUUUGAAAACUCACAGAAUUUCCAAAAACAAAAUUCAAAAAAAAUUUUACGACUAAUUAUUUAUCUGGGACAAUUGAUAAUGUUUAUUUUAAAAGUCACCGUAAAACUGAACUAGCCCUUACGGUAAAAUUGCAAAUGGAAGUAGUUUGCGUUUAGAGGUCUUGCUGGAUGUAAGCCUCUAAACACUUUUUAAACUAUAUAAUAGGAUAACCUGCUGUUUUUACCAUCAGUUUAUACAACAAAAAGAUUAAAUUAAAAUGUAAGAGAAAUAGAGUUAAGUAAAUAAGAAAAAUCUUUGAGAUGUCCGGUGAGGAUGAAUUUGCUAUUAGUUUCUUCAAAUAUGAAAAUUAGACCGGAGGGAUCUUUGGUGAGCCAAAGAUCUGCCAUGGAAGAUUGAUCAUCAUCUCUUGUACGAGUGAGCUUAAAUCCCAAUUCAAGCUCUACGGUUGCUGCUGCUUCUUCUUCUUCUUCUUCUUAUUUUAACUGUUUUUUUUUAAAUAGAAGAACGCCAAAUGAUUAUGUUCUUAGUACUAAAUGGAGAAUCAAAAUUAAUACAAUUAUAGAAAAAUUGUAAUGCAAGGCAUUCCAGAUUUUUUAAUCUCUCGGCAUUCCUCUGUUGGGGAAAAAUCAGGUUUUUAAAUUUUUAUAAAACCUUUUGAAGAUCGCUCUCAUAUAAUAUAUAAGAAUUUAUAUUCUAGAAAUUGUACCUUGUCUAGCACGAGAAAAUUUUUCUCUCAAUCAUGGAGAGAAAAAUCUUAUUCUUUGAUUUGUAUAAAGUGGCUUCCCUCUUUUCUUUAGAGAAAAUAAGCCUUUUAUAUCACCCUUUAGUAAAAACACUAGGCUCCAAAUAAUCAAAAAAACAAAACCCACUUUAAACUAGCCUAAUUAUUUAAUUCCAAAUCUACUCCACUAAAAGAUUGGAAUUGACUUCCAUAAUUGUAUGCUCGAAUAAUAAUUCGUCCCAAGCCACAUUGAUUUCUUUACUGCACAAUCCUUUGUACCACAUCGUUAAUUAAAUUGAUAUCUUAACUGUCCAAUCAAUUUAAUAACAUCUUAUUCCUUGAUCCUUACUGUUUUUCUUCCGGAAAGAAACACUCGAAGGUUCUCGAAACGGAAGGCUGGCUUGUGGCAUCUGUUUAAGCUAUUUUACGGUAGAAACUGUGAAGCGAAUUUACAGAUGUCAAAAUAAAAUUAUAGUAUGUCAAAUCGAAAGUGAUGGUGAAUUUAGAAGUAUUUGAUAAAUUUUGAGUCUCAUAUGCAAUCCAACACAAAUUAAAUCACUUUAAACCGUAAAGAAGGGAGUAAAAUAAUUGAAGUAUUGUAGAGGGUUAAGCGAAAAUAAAUAUCUUGCAUGGUUAGAUAAUAUUGAUAUAUGUUCACAACUCUGAAAGGUUAAAAAAAAAAUAAAAAAAUGUAGCUGAGAUAGUGUUCCCCCUGCUGUACCGUACAUCCGCCUUGGCCGUACAGCAGUGAGAUUUAAUAAGUCUGACAGUUAUUACAAAGUUAAUUAAAUCUCAUAUUUGAUCCUGUUCAAUGUAGUCGUACUACAUCAAUAAAUUCAUACAUGAUUAAGACAAAUCAUUCAAUGAAUUUAUUACAGUCUAUACCUAAAUAAAGUGCCCAACUUUAUUUAUCAACUGCGAACUAAAUUUAUUUAAUCAUAAGAUAACUUGUAUUUAUGUCUUCUGUGAAUCCACAUGGUAAUCACAUAAAUACAUAUAAUAUGAUUAAAUGGACUUUAAUACAAAUAUUAAUGCAAUUAAGCUAUUUGAAUAAAAUACCUCAUUAAUUUUAUUAAUCAGAAAAAAUAUUUAUUACAAUUAAAUAAACACAUAUGCUUUUAAAGAGCAUAUUUUCCCAACAAUUCUAACACAUUGAAGUCACAAUUUGGUGGCAUUUUUUAUGGUGUGUGAAUAAGAGUAAAGCACAUGUUUUAGUCAGAUUUUGGUUGACCGAUUGAAACAAAUAAAAUAACUUAAGAGAGGAGGAAUAGAGGGAUGUGAAGCUGCCUUGUUAUGUUUGAUGCGUUCUCGAGCAGGUUGGCCGGGUGGUUUGAGUGUUUGAUAAAAAGGGAAAAAAGAUGUGAUGAAAAUGAAAAUGAAGGUCACCAAACAUGAGCUAAAUAUGUCCUUCUAAACAUGAGUCGACGGUGGCUGAUUACCCCACUCCAACGUUCAAAUUAGAUUUUGAGUGAUAAGUGGCACCUCAAGGUCAAAUGGACCUUAAAUCUAUCAACAAUGGAGAAAAGUGCUUUGAGAAAGAAGACAAGUAAAUAAUUUUUCCAUAAUGAAAGUUGGUUACCAGUUGGAAGAAAUCCUUGAGCUUUGUAAAGUGUGUUUGAAGAUCAUUUUAAAUAUUUUGGACACGUGACAUUUAGUUAAUGGUUGCCCUCCCUCAAGUGAGGGCGUUUUUGUGUAAUUUAUAACGUGGUCUCAAGAUGGUGACAAGCUUAGGUUUGGAAGGCAAGAAAAACCACCAGCUGCCUUUUUGCUUCUUAUUUUAUACAUGUGGCAACCUCUCUGGCUUGUGGUCCUCCUGCCUUUUUGGUUGCAAUAGGUAGCUUACGUGCCAUUCUCUUAUUGCUCAUCUUAGAAAUCUCUAUUCUCAUUGGCACCUCAUUCUUAGCCGAAAGGUAGAUAUUUUCGAUUUCUCACAUGGUAGCAUUCUGUUUAUUGCACUUUUAAUUUCAUUAGAUCACUAAUCUCAUUAUUUAUUUUGUUUUAUUUAGUUUUUUAAAUUUCAUUGUCAAUCCAUGUGGAGAUGAACUUGAUACUUAUUAUUAUAUUACUUGUUUUGUACAGACAUCACUAUACAUCAUAUCGAGCACACACCAACAUGCACUGUUUACAUGCGGCUGCAACCAUCAAAAUUCGAUUUUUAAAAAGUACUGCUUAAUGAUGUGGAGUUUUCGAAAUUGUCCUUUUCUUCGAGAAACAUGUCUUCCGAUUCCUGGUGAACUUUCUCGGCGUUCUGGUCAAACAACCUGUUCCUCGCUUUACAAACCAUCUAAGUGGGGGUGCAUCAAGAGAAAUAAUUCUACAAGCAUUUCUCCAAAGGAGCUAGGUUGAUCAUCCCAAACUGGUCUUGAUUUUAUUCCAGGAAACAAACACUUAAGUAUUCACUCAAUUUCUACAAUAACAUACAAAGAACUUUAAGCCUUUAAAUGUGAACUAAAAGACUGUGGUCGGUGAGCACAUGUGAAUGUGUGUACAUACAUGUCUCGCUUCAUAUGUAGACAAUAUGAUGAAAUGCAAAAGGAGCCUCAACCAGCUUAUCUACGCUAAACAACAUAGAAGAAAAAGACCAAUAAGAUUUAGUGUCAUUGACAACUCAAGGAUAACAGCAAAUUAAAGGUUCAAGAGUAGAUAUUUAACUUACAGAUGAAUAACCAGCUACUCAGCCGAGGAAACGUCUAUCCACCAUAUCUGCUGUCUCUAUACCAGGGGAAAAAAAAAAAGGAAAAGAAAUUAACGAACUGAUUAAUACUCUUUUUUUUCCCCCCUUAAUGGGCACAAAAAGCAGCUCAACCUUACAGAACUGCCAAUAUUGAAAUCCUUCUAUACUUCAACUUGGGAGUGAGAGUUUAUCCCACAGAUUUCUUGGUAUCCAGGUUGUAAAAUAAAAAAUAGGAAAAUGUCUGCAUAUAUUGACAAAGAAUAAAGCUUUACUUUGCAAACGAUCCCCCCAACCGUCGGAUAAAUCAGCAUUCUCUAAAAUAUUACUGAGGAUCUGUUCAUAAUUUAAUCCAAGAACAGUCAUCGAGCCUGGUACUGUAAGCAGAUUUUGUAAAGCUUUCAACUUUAACGCCUUCGAGCCUGGCACUUGCCGUAAACUUAUCGAAUUUGAUGGCCAGUCCUCCGGGUUGGUGGCAGCCCAACUUGUUUUUCCACUUUGUUGAAUAAAGCAAUGAAUUUGCUUUCAGUAGUGAAGCCGUUGCCAUUGAAAUAAUAAUAAUAAAUAUGAUAUGUUAGGUUUCUUUGUCCCCAUGGUCGCUUCUUUUCCAAUUUUGUUUUUGAACGACAAUGGCAGAAUUAUAUUAGCCCUCCACGCGGAAAAUCAUUUGGCAAAUUUAUUUUGAGAAUUUUUAUGGAUUUUCAUGUUUAUUAUUUUCAGAAUUAUUUAUGGAUUUUUCCUGCUAUAUGAUUUUUUUGGAAUACUGAUAAUAGAAUUGUUGUAAACUUUAAAUUUAAUUGUUUUAAUCUCUACCAUUCAUUUAAUUUAAUGGAUAAAUAAUUGGUUAAUUAAUAAGGAAUAGAUAACUUUUAAAAUACAGUUUGAUGAAUUUGAAUUAAAUGCAAAGCUUGUGAAUUCAACGACUAAGGAUAAAGGCUUGUGAUCUAAUACGACUCCUCUUAUCCCUUUUUUUUUUUUUUUCCUUACUUUCUAAUUUCUAAAUAAUCUUUUUAACAUGUGUGUUAACUAACAACAAUAUUUUUAAAGAAUUAACAUUUGUUCAUUAAUACAAAUAUUUUACGCGUCGAUUAAAAUCAAAUGAUGUGCAUUGUUACAUUAUUGAUGCUGUAAUUAAAAAAAUAAAUUAUAGAACGACCCUUGUUUUAUAUUUAAUAUAAAUUCAUAUAAGUAAACUUAAUGAGAUUAUUAUUAUUAUAGUUUUUUUAAAAUUCUUUAAUGUUAAAUGAUGUGGCGUGUGACGUUAUCAUUUGUUAAUAAUUUUUAUAAAGUUUCAAGUGUAUCAAUUACAUUAUCUUAUUAUUCACUUUGUGAAUGUCAUAAAAACUAAGAUCAAAUUGAAAAUUGAACAUUGAGAGCAUUAGAUGUUUUAUUGUACAACUUAUAUUUUGGAUCACAUAUGUGUCGAAACUAUUUAUAAGUAUUAAUAUGCUGAAACUAAAUGGAUUAAUAAUGGUAACAGGAUGAUUUCAAAUUUUCAAAUCGUAAGGCUGGUGAUUCAUUCAAGUUACUCGACUAAUAUACACAUGAACUGUCGUAAUCAUUUGGGCAAAUGACAAACAAUAUACAAGGAAAUGCAAGGAACUGAAGCAGCUAAUCUAUCUUUUCUUAGCUCUAAUCAAUUGGAAAACAAGCACUAUAAGAGAGACAAGAAGAGCUGAUCCUGCGACAACAAGAGGAGAACAAACCUUAUUCUUUUUAGAAACAUGCUUCUUUAUUUGUGCUGCUGCCGCAUCCUCAUUGAUACCUUUCUGCUUCUCCAAUUCUUUAGAUUCUUGUUCAUCAGGUUUUUCUUCAGCUGGCUCAAUUUCAUUUGGCUUUGGAGUUUCUUCUGGCUCAGGUACUUGACAGGGCUCUUCAGGUUUUGUCAAUUCUUCAACUUCUUGACAGGGCUCCUGCUUUUGUAAAUCUUCGGGCUUUUCGCUUUCGAUGAUGAUCUUUACUAGCAGUGUGUUUCUCUUCAACUUGAGUAGCUAACGAACUUUGAUCAUCUCCAGAUUCGAUUGUUUUAGCCAUCUCAGGGCCAGGAACAUGUGCUUCAAAUCCUGGCUCUGGUGCUUUUUCUUCAGGAAGCCUAUCUUUCCAAGUUUCUUCAGUUUGCAAUGGUUCCGUGAUCUUCGAAAUCUCAGCUUCCCCGUCAGGUUUUGAGGAUACAGUUUCAGUUCUUCCUGGUGAUUCCUCCGCAACCCGUUCAUUUUCUUCCUUGCUUUUAACUUCAGGCCCUUUGGAUUCUUCCCGAAUUGUCUGUUCGACUCUUUCAGUUUCUGCCUCGGCUCCAUUCUCCAAUGGCCUGGAUUCCCCUCCAUCAAAUUUUUCUUCAGCUCCUUCUGUUUUUCCAUUUUCAGGAAUCUCUUCAGCAGCUGAUUCCGUUGUUUCAAAUGUUCGCUGAUCAUUUGCUGGUUCCUCAGCCUGACCCGGAUCCUGCUUUUCUUCAAUCUUCUCUAUAAUUUCUUCCUUAGGCGCCGCCUUAUUCGUACCUUUCUCGGGAACCUCAUCAGCCGCAACUGGUUUCAUUUCAGGAUCCUCUAUUUUAUCAAUUGCUUCAGGCAUCCCUCUAUCGACUUCCUCUUCCUUCACUUCCUCAAUCACAACCCCAGAAUGUCCUUUAACUGACUUGGGCAUGAAAAUUGUCAAAUUUGAUGUUUCUUCAUUAAACUUGGCCUUAACUUUAUCCAAAAUCACCCCAUUUGGUAUCUGAAAAACUUUCCUGAAGGCCCUGAUUUCCACCUCUUUUUUCUGCACAAUCCAACCCAUCAACACCAUCUCUUGCACCGGCUUCUUUCCACUAAUUGCAAUUUUAUCUCCUGCUUCAUUUAUCAUAAUAUCGAUAUUCUCUCUUCUGAAGCCUGCACAUGCUCAAAAUUUAAGAUUAAAUUAUCUCAUUUACCAUCAAUUUAUACAACAGAAAGAUUAAAUUAAAAUGGAAGAGACAUGGAGUUAAGUAAAUAAGAUAAACCUUUGAGAUAUCCGGUGAGGAUGAACUUGCUGUCAGUUUCUUCAGACACGAAAAUUGGACCAGACGAAUCUGUGGUGAUCCGAAAAUCAGCAAUGGAAGUCUGUUCGUCGUCUCUUGUACGAGUGAGCUUAAAUCCCAAUUCAAGCUCCAUGGCUGCUACUGCUUCUUCCUCUUUUUUUUUUUUUUUUGAAUAAAAGAAAUUCAAAUUACUAUGCUCUGAGUAAUGUAUGAGAAACAGAAUUAAUACGAUUAUAAAAAAAUUGUGGUGCAAGGCAUUCUAACAUGUUGAAGUCACAAUUUGGUGGCAUUUUUGCAGGUGUGUGAAUAAGAGUAAAGCACAUAUUCAUUGCUUCUUAGUGUAAAAUUUGAGGUGGGUUCAAAGUCGGUUACUUCUAACUGUUCUUGGCCUUGGCGAGAAGCAACGGCAUUUUGCUGAUACUAAAACGUGAAAUUGCAGGUGAGGUACAAGUGGAGCACCAAAAUGUGUCCCUGCUUGGGAUAAAAGAAUAUUUCUUCGAUCAACAUAUAUAGCCAUGAAAUGUUAAAAGUUAUUAACUUUGACAACAAAUUUGAUAUGUAAGAAUUUUACUUUCAUUAGUUUCUUAUCAGAGGAAGUGACAUUAUUUUCGGAUUUUAAAUUAUCAAGUAACGAAAAAAAAAAAAAGUAACUAAACACUUUAAUCAUUGUGAUUUUAAGAUUGAUUUUAGAAACCCCUAUAUACUAGUGAACCUCAUGUGAAAGCAGCACGACACUAUUCUUGCUGGGCUCGUACCAUCUACGAUUAAGGCCAAUCUGAUCCAAUUGAAAUCUCUAUACAUCACUUAUUUGGUCAUCAAGAAGCUGUCUUUGAAUUUAUAAAAUGAGGAGUUUGCUAUCUUACCCUAAGGUACAAUCCUCUCACAAAUUUGGUUAUGGGUCUUACUUGGACUUACGACCAGAUACUGUUCAUAUGAGAGGAGAGGACUGCACCUUGCGGAUGUUGUAAGGUAGCCCUCUCCCAUAAAAUGGUUUUUAAAAAUGGAAGUGAAUCUGGUUUCUUCCGCCAUAAGAAGAUUUAAAGCAAUGCAGAAAAGGGACCUCUUUGCCCAACAGGUCACCCUUGGAACUUCAAAUUUAAAAUUUUCAUCAUUAAUUCAAUUUUUUUUUAAAAACAAAAAACAUAAAAGUUAUGCAAAGAGGUGGGGAUCAAUGAAGAACAAAGAGAGUGAAAAAGAAAAAAGUAAGUACUUGAUUGCAUGGGCAAAAUUAAAGAUCAAAAGUGAGAAAUGAUUCCAAAGCAAGUGCCAGAGAGAAAAAGAGCAUCGCCAGUCACCAUAAACACAUAUUAUGGUACAUAUAAUCAUCACAUUUAAAGCUACUUUAACUCUCUAAUUACCACAGUACUUUUUUACUGCAUCCUCUUCCUACUUAAUAAAUAAAAUAUUUUCUACUUUUUACACAGGCGAAACGGCCUCCAUUAAUUUCUCCCUUGAGUCUCAGCCUCUUUUUUACAUCAUCAGGAAAACUGUAGAAAAUAGGAGGACCAAUAAUUGACUUGCUAGUACCCCAACCUCCACCUGCAUUUCCACCCACCAAAUCAACACACCAUUAAAAUCAUUUCACUAUUAUUUUAUAUGUGUAUGGCCAAGUGAACCAAAAUGAUAAAUGAAAUACACACACACACACACAUAUAAAAUCAUGACUUACAUAUGCAGAUUUUACGUAACACUUUAACAAUUCAGCAUCAAAUUGGAAAGUUUUAAUUUCAAACUCUUACUAAACAUUAUGUGCAAAUCCACAUUUUUAUAAAACCCAAAACGUUCUCACCUGAUUCACAUGGCCUGAAGUGGGCAAAGGCCGUAUAGUAGCAGAAUCAACUUCACCAGUAGGCAGAGGAACGGCGGGGUUACUGUUAAUGAACGGAAUGCCGCUGCCUUUAUCCGGCACCGUCUCUGGAGAAGUGGCAGCAAUCAUGGGUGCAGGAGUUGGGGAAAAAGCCUUUUCAUGAGGGCGGAAAGGCCACGGAUAAGAUGGAGAAGACGACACAAUGCCUCCGGGAGCCGGCGUCGGAGCCGCCAUCAUCGGAGGUUUUUCCGUUGAAGGGGUUGGUGACGGAGUUGAAGAGACAGCAGAGACUUUUAUGGAGAGCUUUUGUGAGCUUUUAUUGCAUGUUUGAAGAGAGCCGUUGUUGAAUGUGAAGUAGAAAAAUCCAGGGCGUGAUGGGUGCCACUAAUUAUUUUGCAUACAUUAUGAGCAAAAAUUUUAAAAAAUUAAAAAAAGUUAGUAACAAUUUUGAGACAUUUUUCAAUGUACCCCACGUAAAAAAGAAUGCAACUAGAACAUGUUUCCAGAUCCAAAAAAAUUAAAUCAUUUUCAAAAUUUCCAUGUUUUUGUUUCAAAAACAAGAUUUGAAGCUAGCUAGUUACCGUAUAGGAGGUGGAAUUGGGCUUUGUGAGAAGAGUAGCUUGAGAGAAAUUGCAAAGAUUGAAUGCAUUCUUGUUCUUGAAAAUGUAGAGGUUGGAGUUAUUAAACUUGUGUUUGAAAACUGAGAAAGAAAUUAAGAACAGGACAUGUUAGUCAUUGCUAAUUUGGAUCACAUAAAAAAUGUUGUUUUGUUUUCAGAUUACUUACUGAUUGUGUCUCCUACAUGGACACUGGGGUUCUUCCACUCUGAAAUUCCAUCAACAAAAAUUGUUGCCGAUUGAGCCUGUUGUGAGAGAAGAAACAAAACUAGGAAGAUUGGAAGCAUGGAUGAAAUGUCAAGCUUCAUGAACUGAAAUAAUGAACUAAUGAAGUGAAAUGAUGAAGAGGGAUGAUUAAAUCAGAAGGGUUUAUGGCUUUUAUGCACUUGUAAUUGCUCUGUCAAAGCUUUUAAAAGAAAAAGAGCAUUCUGAAAAUUGAAAAAUGUGCAUUAGUUUUUUUGUCUCUUGUUUUUGAGGGGAGACCCUGCAAACUGUCAGACUUUGUUUGAAUGGAUGACAGACAAUGGAUAUGGGAGAUUGUGUGAUUUCAUUUAUUUUAAACAGUAAAAGGUGGCAUGAUUUUGUUUGUUGAAAAACUUUACAAAAAACAGUAAUAAUAAAGAGGAUGAAAUUAGUAUUUAUAAUGUAAUGAUAAAAAAAAUUGAUAAAAGAUGAUGGGGAUUAUUAUUCUAAAAUGAUUAGCUAGUUCUUUGUGAUUAUCACUCUGCAGUCUUUAUUUACAUCAAUUUUUAAUUUAAAUAGUUUUUUUUUUCUUACAUGGAGAGGUGAAUGAGUGUGGGGAAUCUAAUUUUACUUUCUUUGAUGAAAUCUUUAACUUUUUAAUUUGGCCCCUUCAGUUUCUUUAUUACUUUAAUUUGUUUAAUGAAGUGAUACGCAUACUUUUUAUUUUGAUGUUUCAAACGAAUAAAAUCUCACUUUCUUCUGUAAUUACAUUGUGGAAUUGAAACCAUAAAUUUAUCUAUAUUAAACAAGACUCAAUACGAAACCCAAUAUAUAUAUAUAUAAAUAUAUAAAACACUUGCAAAACCAGUUGUGAUACUCGUACAGUAGAGUAUGGAAACUUACUUAAGUUGUGUAUUGGGUUGUAACUUAGCACAUUAAAUUUGUUAUAUGAAAGUUGAAACUUUAUAUAUAUAUAUUUCUUUUAAGUUUGUUAUACACAGAUGUUACUGACAUUACAUCAGAUAUUACAAUUAAUAUUUACAAUUAUACAUAUAAUUAGGACCACCGCUAUACAUUGACACACUGAAGCACUUGCUCAUAUAUUUUAAACCCUCUCUAAUAUUCGAGAGGUAUAUGCUCCACUCACAUUUCGUAAAUGAGAGAUUAUCUCCACUCAAUUAUAUUAAUAAUUGAGAGAGUACUGAAAUUAUCCACCAUAAAACUCUUAUGGAGGCUCGAAUCAUUGCAUUCAACAUUAUAAGUGCAAUGAUUCUCUCAUUGGACCAAAGGCCUAUUGGUUGAAAAACUUAUAUAUACUUACAUGUGCGUGCAAAUGCUCGUUUAAUGAAAGGUACAAAAUGUUAGAAUCCCUUGAAAAAAUAUUGCAGAAUUAGAAAUUGAAACUUUAUUUUUUUUUCCAAUAGGAAUUAUCACCUGAGAUAUUCCGCUGGUAGCUAGUCAAGGGUCAGUAAAAUAUAAUAUGUCAACAAAAUAUAUCAGUUAUUAAGAUAAGAAACUGCAAAUGCUGGAUCCGGAGAAGCUGGUGUAAAUAACAGCAGGGCCGAAUCAUACGAAGACAAGGAUUAAGGGACAAAAAGAAUAAAAAAGAAAGAGGACUAGAACAGGGACAAAAAGAACUUAGGAUACUUAAAAAAACAAUCUUGGAGGAUUAGAAGACAAAAAUAAAAAAAGCUUUCUGGUAUAGUUCCUCCCCCCUUUGUUAUCUCCCAAAUCAUUGUUUCAAUGACAAUCAACAAACUUUAGUAUUGGCCAAAAAGAUAGCUAAACAAAAAUAAAAAUUACCGUAUAUUUACACUAAAGAAAAAGAGUCUUAAAUAGAAUAAUUACAAUGAAAUUACAAAGAAAAAAAAGAAUGACGUGGUAAAUCUACCUCACCUAAUAUCUUUUUUUCGAUCUAUAUUUGGCUGAACUGCAUACAAAACAUAAUCAAUUGCAAAAUUGAAAGUUUUCAUGUAAUAUUUGAUAAUCUGAGUAAUACUAAAGAAAGGGGAAUAGUAUAUACAAAUACGUGGCUCGCCAUUCAACAGCAACGGCAACAGCUUUACUACAAAUUGCAGCUUUCGAAGUGAGCAGAAUGUCAAGACAAGUACUAAAAGACAAAGGAAUAGUGACAAGAGUGCUUCCGGGAAGCAGAUAAAAGAAACUAGUGAUAGAUAAAUAAAUAUUUGCAGAAAAGAUAUUAAAAGCCGUUGAGUGGAUAAAUCGACAGAGAUAAAGCGCCUGUUGCCGUUGCUAUUUCAUUUUCAAUGUCGAUACGAGAGUGCUCUCUGCUGCCAGUCUCGCUCCCACGCUCGCCACUUGCUACUUCGAAACCCUAACCUUCAAUCCUCUAAAGAUUAAUAGUUGCCAUUUAAGAAGCCUUUUUUUUUUUUUUUAGCGACUAUUGUGUUUUUCAGAGCAUUUCUUUGAAUUUCCUAUAAAUUUCCCAUAUUACAGACAUAAAGCUUACCAUGAGGAAUUUUAUUAUUUAACCAAAAAAAACCUGAGAAAAUUUGUGGAAAUAAAAACACGGCUAAUAAUAAUAAUAUGUUGGCAAGUAAUUUUAAGUCCAUAACUUAUAAUGAGGGCAGAAGCUUUCACGCAUAUUGAUCCAUGUAAGGACAUGCUAGAACUAAAAUUACAAAUGACAUUUCAAGAUAGCAACGGCAUAAACAAGAACAGUGCCAUUGGACUCUCAUAAACACAUAGUCUAGCAUUAGCAGAUAUUCUCAGAUCAUUAAUUACUGAUAUAUUUUGUUGAAACCUAAAUACAGUAUACUGCCAAUCCAGAAUGUACUUUGUUCUCCCAAAUCACAUUAUAUAUAGCAGAAAUCAGGAGAAACAAAUUUUGCAUUGCAACACUCCCUAACUACAUUGAUCUACAUUUGUCAUCAGCCCUCCUUUAUCUCACCUGAUGAAAGUCUCUCUCUCUCUCUCUCUCUCUCUAUUUUUUUUUUUCCUCAAAUAAUAGGGAAUUUUUCUUUCUCUCUCUCUCUCUCUCUCUCUAUCAUUUGUCAUCAGCCCUCCUUUAUCUCACCUGAUGAAAGUCUCUCUCUCUCUCUCUCUCUCUCUAUUUUUUUUUUUCCUCAAAUAAUAGGGAAUUUUUCUUCACGGCUCGGUGACAAUCCCUUUUCAACUAUAUAUCAAGAACCAUUACUGCUCUGAAGUGAUCAUUGGGUGGAUGUAACUACCAUGAAAGAAGCUAUUUCUCUAUAAGAUGACAUUGCUGCCACAUUCUUUCUAUGCAGGAGAAGCCAGUUCGUAAGUUAUCAUAUCUAAAGCAAAACAUAAUCUACCACUCCGCGGAUUGAACUCUCCGAAGAACACGCGGUGGUCUUUUCUUCUCAACAACUGGAACCACUUUUUCCAUUAGCUGCAGGAGAAUCAAUAAGAAAAUCAAUAAUCAAGUAAUUUAAGCUUUGCUAGCCAUUCUCAUCAUUGUAAUUUACUUUGCAAUAAAACAUUGCUACAUUUGUUCUGUCUAUGAUUUAUGGCAAUUUCAUAAAGCACCAGCAAAGCUACCCACUAGGACAGACUGCUUGACUGAAAAAGCAUGGUAGGAAAAUUAGACGGAAUUGUCAAUGUUUCUAUGCAUAUCAUCCUUGAAUCAAUCACAACAAUGAUACAACUAUACUUGCAGACUUGAAUAUAGUUGAAAUAUAUGGGUUUCUCUAUAUUACUCAUGAAUUAGAUUAUCCAAAAUCAACUUCCAACACUAAAACACAUUAAUUCCCAAAUUUGAUGAAAAGUCAGACAGAGUUGUUUUGUUACCUGCUUGUACCUCUCCUUAGUCCUCUCCGCCUGCACAGGAAGAAAUUUUGUUAGGCAAGAAUAAGAAAAAUCCAUAGGGGUAAAAAAGAACUUGAAGAGAGCUAACACAAUUAGUAUAGCCUCCAAUAUGCAUUUACAACUGGGCUUUCAUAUUAGAAAAAGGGGAUAAAAUUAGACCUCCUAAACCACAGCAAACUAAUGGAACAUAAGAGAGUGUAUAUGUAAUUGUUCAAUGCAAACAACAUAGUGUUAUGGUAAAUAUCUUAAAUUAUAUGCAUAAACCACUAUGCACUCGUGAUGACACAAAUCUGAAAAAAGCUAAAUUGAAUUUAAGCAAUCAUCGGUAAUAAAACUCCCAUCUAGACAUUAUCUGUCAACUUCUAUGAGAAUGGGAUGAAGGUUGGAAAAGUACUGCAAGAGAACGAUGAAAGUUAGAAGUGAUCUCCAACUCCAAGUGAUUGCUAUCAUCAAUAAUUUUCUUCAAUUCUUAGUAAAUAAAUACCUCACAUAACAUCUAUCCUAGAAAACAUAACUAAUGAUUUAUAUAACAAUGUUUUUAAUGCAUGAUUUGUCCGACAACUAACUGUCAUUAGGGAUGUCCACAUAAAGUCUGUAACCAGUGUGGAAACAAUUUAUAAAUAAUGUGUGAAUAAUUUUUUUCAGGAAGCAGUGCUGCACCACUACAACCACAAAUAUAAGUUACUUCAAUAAGUUUACAUAUAUAGAUACACACACUAAGAAAAUGAACUUAUUAAUCUGUGCAUCAAGAACAGAAACAGAAAAUACAGGAAUGGCUCCUUCGUCCCCUAAUAGUUAAGCAUCUGUUGUUUUUUAUCUAGCAAACAACUUUGUUGUUUGGACCACUGAAAUCAAACAAAUCUUAAAGUUUGCUUCUCCAAGGAAAGAUUUCAAACAAGUAUUGAAAGUUAACUAAUUAAAUCACCACAUAUUUCAGAACUUCUUAGCUUGUGCUAUUGGUAACCUAACAAAAUUUCAGAAGACAAGGACAGGAAUUAACAGUUAAGAUAAGACGUCAUAUUCAAAAUAGAUCACCCACAUACAAUAAUCAAAAAAACCAAAUCAUUUAAAUUUAAGGCAUGUAAAUACUAGAAUACAAUCUUUCAAAUACCUUUACAUGGUAGAAUGUUAACUUGAGGCAGAGACAAUGAACAAAUAAUUCAUAACACUAUCUGAAAACUGAUAAAUGACAUGACCAAGCAUGCUUGCUAUGUGUUAUUGAUCAAUUUAUUAAUCUUACAAACUCUCUUCAGCAUUGGUAACAUAUCUAAUUACCUUUUCUUUCAACAGCUGCUCGUUUUCCUCCUCGAGCCUCACUGCCAAAGAUUCUAAUUCCACUUGAUAAGCCUGCAGAACACCAAAAAUUCCAAACCCAUCGAUCAACAAAACAAUCAGGAUAUGUUUGGAAUUGAGUUGCAGCCACGACCGCUAUAAAUUGAAAUCAGAGACAGUGAAGUACAGAUGGGUAGGUGUUUAUCAAACGCUUCAGCUGAUGUGCUAUCAAAUCAAAAGCCUAAUUAGAACAGAGUUUUGUGACCUGUUUCCUUUCCCUCGACCUAGCAGCGGACUCUCGGUUCUUGAUCAUCCUCCGUUGCCGCUGCUGCGCUGCCUUAUCCAAUGGCUCCAACAUCACUCUCCCUCUCUUCCCUCUCCCGCCAACAACUUCCACUCCAUUUCCAAACCCAACAAUGGCCCCUUCAACCUGAAAGGGACUCGCCGCCGCCGGCUGAUCAAACGCAUAAACUCCACCACUCAACCUCUCAGUAACAUUCGCAAAAGCUUUCACGUCCAUGUCAUCACCGCCAGCACUAUCCUCAACAGCUCCCGCCUUUGCCAAAAAAUCCUCCAAAGUCAUCAUUUCGUCAAUCGCCUCCUCCUUCAUCUCCUUCUUCUCCCCCGAUACGAUCUCCCUCCACACGUCGUCCACACUCUUCAUCGCCCCCGCCGAGACGGCGCCGUUCUGGUCGUUCUCGUUCGCGAUCAGAUUCGAGUUCGUGUCGACCAGAGUGAUUUGCGCGUCGAGAAGAGUGGCGUCCGUCGUCGACGCCGUCGUCGUGUUGUAGACGUUCCGUAAAAUGCCGUCCACCGUCAUUGCGGAAGCGAACUUCGACGCGUCAGUUAGUGCCUCUUGCUGCUGCUUUGUAGAAGAAGAAGAAGAAGCAGUAGAGGACCGUUUUGAAAGAUCCGAAUUUCGUGUGUUUGAAGAUUUCAUGAUUUUAGAGGACGCCAUUUUAGGGCUAAUCCUCAGAGAUUCUCUCUAGAAUUUUUCUUUGUUUGCGUUAUAUUAGUUGUACUUUUACAAAAAUUUUAGGGUUUUGGGAAUCUGAUAAUUUGAUUUCUUGAUUUUGGGGAUGGUUUGUUACUCUGUUGGGAUCGGGGAGAGUUGAGGAUUUGACUGUUUUGAGUUUUAAGCGUUGAGUAAGAGAAAAGCGCGUGGGUUUCGUUUCGUCGUGAGAGGGAAAUGUUAGAAUUACGGACAAUAGCGGUGACUGUGACAAGAAACGGAGCGAAUCCGUCCGUCCACUCCUCGAUAGGACAAUGAGAUAUCACAUGUGAGUUUGUGGGGAGCCGACUGUAGACCAUUUCUACGAAUUUUUUUUCUUUUGAGAUGAUAUUUUUCAAAUUUUUUAAUUAUGGUAUGGGUGACGUGUCGAUCACCGUGCAUUGUGGCGCUCUUUGUAGUUUGGAUCUUCUUUGUUUCGUACUGGGUGACUGACUGAUGACUGUGGGCUGAAGAAAUGGGUCUGAUUUAUUGGGCUUUAAAUUUGCAACAUGAAUUAUUUAUUUUAUACCAUUUUCACAAAUAACAUGAACAUGAUAUUUAAUGAUAAAGUUAAAACAAGAAUAAUCUAUUAGAUAACAUAAUAAUAAUAAUUUUAUUAGUUAUAAAAUUUAUCAUAUUGUUAUAAUAUAUGAGUGUAUGACACAUAUGAUUGGAUCCAAGUGUUGGAAUACUCUGAUACGAAUACUUUUAAAUCUUAUAUAGAGUGUAUGGUCUUAAUUAUAAUAUAAAAUAUAAACCGCCCCCCACAUCCCACCCCAAAAAAAAAAAGCCUCAAAAAAAUUUACUUCCCAAAAUCUGAUUAAGUGACCCGAUUACUUUUGCACGCCCACAACAUGAAUCGUGUGUUCUAUUUGCAAAGAAAAUUGAUGUAAAUGGCCUAAAAUAUCAGUUAUAAGAUACAAGCAGCCGCCCGUUACCAAAAUUUGGGCACGGUGCCUGUGACUUUUAGACGUUACACCUAAUAUAAAAUACACACACGCAUAUUAUGUUACAAGAAAGUUAAGGUGAAGUAGCACAAAUUUAUUAAAUAUUGAUCGAUCAAUUUCGUGUCCGAGUUAACAAAUUGUGUGCAAAAUCCCGAUCACUCUGAGACGCACACUCUUGAAGUUGAGAUCUCCACGCAUAUCUCCUCAAGUUAAGCUCAGGGUUGAGAUUGAGGUUAUCUUCAAUGGACUUCCAAGAAGUUUAUUGAUUACUUGCAUGCAUUGCUUUCUCUUUCUCUCAAAUAAUAUGCAUGUUUUCUCUUCCACAUGAAAUGCCCACGUAAAAACCUUCCACGUGUAUACCAAAUCCACUUUUUUAAAUCUUUUUUUUUUUCCUUUUAAAUAAGUGAGAUGUAUAUAGACGGAGAAAAUGUUUGGAGUUUCACUUAAUUUUCGUUAUUAAUCAGAAAAAAAGGUUUAAAUAAAAGACGUAAUUUGGCAGCAGAAAAAACAUGAAGUUGUUAGGCGGAGCAAUUUGUGCCUUUACAGGUUUCUUGCCAACUAUUCUUUGCUCAACCCUCAACGUUCCUUCAACCGUUCUCGAAACCAAACCCUAACUAAUUAUUUAAAUUAUUUCCACUUGCUUUGCCGUGAAUGUACAUUUAUACCCCUCCUACAAUUAUACAUAUGAAUCAUUUAAUUAAUUAAUUUUCUGAAUUUCUUCCACCUUUUUCUUCAAUAAUUGUAUAUAUUAAUUCCAAUUAAUCUAAUUAAAUUGAGAUGGAAAAACUCGAUUUUAUAAGUGCUAUAACUCAGCACGCAAUUCUAUUUGGCUCCACAUCUAAGAAUCUUUAAAUUAAUUUCUUGUAAAACUCAAUUUUAUAACUGGUGUCAAAGGCAAUAUUAAUGAUCAUCAUAACUGAAACACACGUACCCAUGUCUCACAGUUCGCAAGAAAGUGUGGCAAUCAUUCAAAAAAUCAUAAAAUUUCACCACAAUAAUUAGGUACUUUUUCUCUUAGAAAAGAGAUGAAAAUUUUCUCAAUUUUUCAUUUUAAAUAUCGAAAGUAUCGAGAAACUAAAUAAAAAACUAAACCCCCGAGUCUUAGAUAUUUUAACUUCUUUAACCUUAAAUUUGAAAGGAAAAUGUUAUUUUUCCCGGGUCAAACCCCGAAUUAUUUCAAAACGGCGUCGUUUUGGCUUUUUUUUUUAUUUGUUGCAUGAAACGUAGUCGUUUCAUCUAGUAAAAAGAAAACAAACUAAAGCAUUUUCCUAAGGCAGAGAAACGAAGACGCUAUGCAGAGAAACAACUACUCUUAGCUCUUCCUCUUUGAUUUUUCAGUCACCAGUGUUGAAGCUCUUCCUCUUCGAUUUUUCAGUCACCAGUGUUGAAGCUCUUCCUCUUCGAUUUUUCAGCAGCUGUUAAUAUUUUCUGACAUAAGACUAAGUUUCGGCAUUUGCACAAGCUAAGGUACGAAUCUUAAAAUUUUCGAAGUUUCAAUUUCGAUUACGAAUUUCUGUCUCAUUUUUGUUGUCAAGUUUGUAUUAAAUCAGCACAAUUUCCAGACCAAUUCAAGCACAAAUUGCAGACCAACUCAAGCACAAAUUUCAGACCAAUUCCAGCACAAAUUGCAAACCAAUUCAGCACAAAUUCCAUACCAAUUCAAGCACAAAUUGCAGACCAACUCAAGCACAAAUUUCAGACCAACUAAAGCACAAAUUACAGACUAAUUCAGCACAAAUGCAGACCAAUUCAAGCACACAAAUUGCAGACCAACUCAAGCACAAAUUCCAGACCAAUUCAGCACAAACACAAUUAUUUCCUUAACAUUUAAUUUCAACCGAAAAUUAAAUAAAACAGAAAUUGAUAGCUAUCAAAAUUGUCCCCAUUUUACCGUAACCUAGAAAAGCUAAAGAUCGAAGCAUUACCUGAGGCUGUGAUAACUGUGACGCUUCGUGAGUUCAAUGAGGGAUGCGUGUGAUGGCUGCCACGUUGACGGUGACCGUGCCUGCGCGAAUGGCAGAAACUUCCAGAUUUGGGUGGAAAAAGGAAGACGAGAAAACGAAGAGGAGGGGAAGACGAAAACGAAGAGGACAAAACGAAUGGUAGAAAACGAAUGGCAAAUUUCCCUGAUGAAACGAAGAGGAGAAAACGAAGAGGGGAAGAUGAAAAUGAAGAGGAGAAGACGAAAAUGAAGAACGAAGAGGAGAGCUUUUGCUAGGGUGAAACGGUAGCGUUUCAAAUAGAAGAGGAAACAGCGUCGUUUUGCUUUAGUUUUCGGAGUUUGACCCGGGGCAAAUAGCAGAACUCAAUUUGAAAUAUUGAGAAAUGCUAUAUAUAUUAAUAUAUAGUUGUGAGAGUUUUGCUGCAUUAGUGGUCCUGCUCAGUUCGAAUAUAAAUUAAUCAGGGUCUAAUGUGGUUUUUGGAUACCAGAUAAUUUAAUACACCGAAAAAAAAUUUAAUAAGAUGAUGCUUUAAUACAACAAUAAUAACGAAGAUCCAUGCUAAUAGUUGGAUACACGAAAGAGGAAACAUAGAUUAUUGAAGAAUGAUGAUGAAGAUAAUGACAAAUUAAGGACAAUGAUAGCUCACAAGUUUCUUUUGGUUUUCGGCAAUAUUAAUUCCUAUUAACACAUGUGUAGCCACACAACUCAUAAUCAUAUAUAAUAAACAAACUAAUCAAGGGCAUGUUGGUAGUUUUGGACAAAUAUUUCUUCAGCCUCCAAGAUACCGUUUAGGUGUUAGAGAAAAGAAUGGAGUGUAAAGCUUACAAAAUCAUGCAACAGGAUAAACACAAGUUAAAUUAUGAAUGAUGAUGGAGUGAAUGAAGAAAUAAAGCCAACGACAAAAUUAAAGGAGGCUACCAGAUGCAAUAAAGGUUCCUCAUGAGACGAGGGCUGCUCAGCAAAUUUAGCCUCAAAGCUUGCUAAGAAUUUGGAUAAGUGAUUAAAAUUCUCUUUCUCUUUCUCUUUUGAUCAGAUUAGAUAGAGUUACCAAAGAGAUAGCGUUCAAUACAAUCCUUAAAACGCCUUUAAUAAUUUAGAGGCUUUAUAUAAAUGUGUGUAUUUUUGUUCAACUGACAAGCCUAGGAAGUUUAAUAUACCUGCUGAUAUUUAAUAUUUGCAUAAUACCCUUCAGUAUUUUCCUUUUAAGAAUCUUAAUUUUGUAUAUUCUUAGAAGGGAAUGAUCCAAUUGUGGGGUAUUUAAUUUUCUCACUGGAAGUGAGAACUCUGUUUGGUUUUUCUAAAUUAGUCUAGGAUAUAUCUUCAACUUUAUUCUUAUAUAAUUUAUAGGAAUUCAAUAAGAUGUGGGCAAAACUUAGAGCUGCAAACUCCAGAAGAGGUAUCUUCUAAUAGUGCAUGCACAAGCACACACGCAUCAUAUUAAUUGUUGCUUGUUUUAAUUUAUUACCAUCUUCUAUAUAUCAUUGACAACGGGACAAUCAUCAUGAGUUUUGCCCAAAUUUAUGCUUCUUCCAUGAAACAAAAUUUUUUCAUAAAUAUAUCGAAAUAAAGUGAAAUUUUGUUAUACUGAUUUUUUUUUUCUUUUUUUUUUUUUGUGUUCUUUCGGGUACUUGUUCCUUUUUAUCAUAUCAAAUUUAUGUAUAAGACAUAAGAAAGAAAAUGUUUAGAAUAAUUUACUUACAUAAAAUUUGUUAUUUAUUCAAUUAUUUGCAUAUUUUUCUCAUAGGUUGCUUGUUUUCCUCAUCUCAAAUUACAUGCAUGAAAAGAUUUCCUCAUCUCAAAUUUUUAUGUACCAUGUGUAUCUUUGAUGACUGAAAUAUUAAUUAUUCGUUAUAUUUUUUUUUUAUUAUCUAUAUACAUCUUGAUAUCUAUAACGUCAGUUGAUAUUUUCUACAUAUAUCUUAAUUUCAGAUGACAAGGAAUUGAGAGAAGCAAGAAAAAGCCUGAACAUUAAUGAAGAAUAUCUCAGCGCACUAAGAACAAAAUCUUUUGCCGAAUGCUUCUCCAAGGCUCAAUUAUUCGUUACCGAGCCAUCCUCUCCAUCCUGCCGCCAUGAAAAUUUUUCUGAAAUCUUGCUUGAACCCGAUCAAGACACCAUACCAAGCAUUCUUGAAUCAGCUGUUCUUUCAAAGGUGCCCGAACUCAAAGACCUCUUGCUUAAUUACUUUGAUAUAAGUGCUGAAGCGUCAAGCAUUUGUGGCCAGCUCCUCAAGAACAUCAAUGAUGUUCGACAUGAGUACCGGUUCAUUCAACGUGCCCUAGAUACGGCUGAUGAUGAUCAAACAGAACCUCACGAUAAAGUUAAGUUGAUUGUUUCAAACUUGAACUCGUUGAUUAUUUUAACCAACCCGUUUUCCAAUCCGAGUACGAAUGAAUUUAAGGUCAUUCAUGAUAAGUACUCUUCCGUGUUGCACAAUUUGAAAUCAAAGAGAAAAAAGGUGGCAAGAAAAAUUAAGCUGAUUAAUUAUGUGCAUAAGGCAAGUGGGAUUUGCAUAACAGCAGUCUGUAGCUUAAUUGCUAUAGCAGCUGUUGUUCUUGCAGCACAUGCACUCACUGCCCUACUCAUCGGGCCAAUGAUUUUAAGCUUCCCCACAAAGUGCUUCAAGAAAAAGCUCUUCAACUUUAGAUUCCUCAGAAGUGGGUUCCUAAGAAAAGUGAGGAAGCAGCUUGACGUGGCAGCCAAGGGGACUUAUAUCUUGAAUAGGGAUUUUGACACGAUGGGGAGACUUGUUGCUAGGUUACAUGAUGAAGUUGAGCACAACAAGGUAAUGAUUCGAUUUUGUUUGGAUAGACGAGAGGAUAAAUUUGCUUUGCAUGUAAUGAAAGAGAUUAAGAAGAAUCAUGUUGGGUUUCAAAAGCAAGUUGAAGAGCUUGAAGAGCAUGUGUAUUUGUGCCUUGUUACUAUCAAUAGGGCAAGGUCUCAAGUGAUUAAGGAAAUGGUGACAAGUUCUUCUUGUGUGGAAGAAUUAAGGUAGUUACAGCAAUUAUAUACAAGAAAUGUGUUGUAUAAAGUGUAAAUUAAAUUUUCUUUUUCUGUAAAAUAUAAAUAUUAUAUUUAAGCUCUUAGUUAUGAAGAAGACUACUAUUUGGAACAUCAAUUUAAAUUAGAUCAGAUUGAAUUCGAUAGGACUGUAUAAUGGUCUUUUCAUUGAAUGAAGUGAUGUAUUGGAAAAUUUUAAAAAUAUUGUAUUUGAAUGAAAUAAUUUAAAUUUAUUUAUUACAUUUUCUAUGGAGUUUGGUUUAUAUGGUAGUGUAUGUAUUUGAAUGAUGCUUUUUAAUAAGUGAUGACUAUGACUCACCAAUUACCCACAUUGAUAUCGUUUCAUAAAAUUAAUUCAUGAUCAUCUAUUACCAACUUAUACUCAGAUUAGAUAAUAAUGAACAUUUUACAAUUUUCAACACUUAUAUAGAAGGUUUUUUUUUUUUUUUUAAGAAUUUCCAAGACACAUACUCACAAUUUUCAACACUUAUAUAGAAGGUGAACAUUUUACAAUUUUCAACACUUAUAUAGAAGGUUUUUUUUUUUUUUUUAAGAAUUUCCAAGACACAUACUCAAAUAAUUCUUUAUUACUCAUUAUCGUAAAAAAAUAGCACGCGGGUUUCCUUUCUCGAAUUCAAUAACUGCGAUUUCAAUCUUAAAAUAUUUGUUUUUUGUUUUUUGAUGCAGAAACAUGUCACAUGCGACACAAUCGAUCCUGGAAUUUGAUUGGGCCGAGGUUAGGCAUGUCCAUGGGAUGACAACUGUGGCCUCGAACAAGAUCAUAGCCAAUUAGCCAUUAUUAUUUUGGGUACAAUCUUAUGAGUAAAUGCAACUGAUAAUUAUUAUUAAGGUUCCAACUUUUUAGAUUAAAAAUUAACAUAUCACAUCUGUACAAUAAUUGUAUAGAACAUGAAUUGAAAAUUUAUGUUAAUAUAGCCGAGGUUCACUCUAAUUUUUUGAGAGAAAAAAUUGUUCUCGAAUUCUUCUUAUGAAAGAUUAAAUGUAAAUAAGAGAAUUUAUUUGUAGAUGAGUUCGUCAUCUGUCUAAAAUGAUUUCUAUUAAUAGUUCAUUAGCUUAACUUCUUUUAAAUUUUAAUGGAUAUUUAAAGCUUACACGUAAUCAACUAUAAGAAGACAAAUAGAUAAUAUAUUGAAAUUUUAAUAACUUAUUUGAAAAUAGAAAAAUUAAUGCACUCCAAUCCUUUCAGAAGACACAUAUUUUUUUUUAAGAUAGGUACACACAAAAUAUUUUGAGCUCUUUAUAAAUUAAAAAAAAAAAUUGUCUGCGACACUCUUGACUUUUUACUAUUAAAACAUGUCACACUAAAAAAUAAAAAAAUAAAAAAAUAAAAAAUUUUCUAAAUAAAAAAAAAAACUUGUAAAACAACAAACAUUUUAGUAAUAAUUUAAUCACGGUUCUUAAUCCGCUGCGGAAUAUCCCUUUCUAGAGCCUUUAUUUUAUUGUUGAACUAAUUUAAUGAUGAUUUAAAAAAGUUAAAUUAGGAGAGAGAGAAACCAACACGAGCCUGGCUUACUUUCAACGAGAAGUGCACAUGUGUCCUGAGGAGAGAGAGAGAGAGAAACCAUCCAAAUGCAUCCAAUUAGGAGCUGGCUAAGCUGGAUCUGUAAGUUACAGAAUCUGUAACUUAAGCCAGCUCCAUAAGAAAAAAACAACACGAGCCUGGCUUACUUUCCUGCAUGGAAAUUGAAUCGAGCCAACCAAGCCAGCAGCAGUCCCGAAGAUUCCGAAUCUCAAGAUACCCGUUAAUAUCUUUUUAAUAAAUGUUUAACAGACGGAAGAAAUUGUAGAAUUUAUUUUAUAAUAUGUGUAAACCGUGGUCCAAAAUUCUUAACGAGACACGUGUCACGCGGGGUCCAUCUAUGGUUUUCUGGAUACCGCACCCCAUUGGGCAUUGUCAGUUAAUAAAAUGGAAUUAGUGAAAAUAAUAAUCACGUCACUCAUAUUCACCAAAAAAUAAAUUGAUAUCUAAAUAAAAUAAAAUUCCAAAAUAUGUAACGUUCGAAAAGUGCUCAACUUCAAAUAUUUGAAGUAUGCAUAACAAAAUAGGUUACACACGUUUUUGCGUAAUUAUCAAAGAUUGUAUUAUGAUUUUGAAAGAGAAGGUUUAUAAUAAAGUCGUAAGCAUCACAAUAUGAUAAUGGAGUCAAAUAAUUUUUAGAGAAAAAGAGUUAUGAUUAUAAAUUAGUCACUGUCAGAUUUUAUAGUACGAUCACAGUCUCGUGUUAUCGCAACAAAAUUAUAGCUUGACCCGUAAUCUGUAACUGUAGAAAGCCAAUCUUUUCUUUACCCCUCUCAUCGUCAUUUGAUCUCUCAGCAUCAGCAAAACCCUCAUUUAAAAAAAAGAAAAUCACCAUUGGGUCCAUUUUUGGACAAAAUAUUCUAUCAUUUUUCGCCCCUCUCAGCACAAAAGUUCUAUCUUUUUUACUGGGUUUGCAAAAUCGUACGGCCUUUUUAAAUAUUUUUCAGCACAUAGUUCUAUAUACGGUGCUUCUGCGUGUUCUCUUCAACGAAUUAGUUUUAUAUUCACGAUUAAACGAAAUAGGUGGCCUUUUUUACUAUUAUUGCAAGUAAUUAACCAGGGAGUUGUUUUUUUUUUAAAAAAAAAAAAAUUUGUUUCACGUUUUAUUAGUCUUUUGGUUUCAUAUUUUGAAGUACUUUUAAUAGUAAACGUUAUGUGAAGGUUUGCAUAAUCUUUGUUGAUUUUUGCGUUCGUUCAGUGAUUAAAUUUGCUAAUAUUUUUUUCCCCUCCACCUACCAUUCUCUGCGUGUGAUUGACUAGUGGGUCUGUUUUCUUUGGUUUUAUUGGUGUAAAUAUAUCUUAAUUUUAGCAUUUUACAGUUGAUAAUUUAUAAAUUGUUUUGGACUUUGGUGGCAUUUAGCCACUCUGUUUCGACCCCAGAAUCUUGAUUCUGGGAGCUUUUGUUUGGGGUGUUUGUACUUGUGGGUUUCUGACUUUUUGAUGAAGGGUUCUGGAGCUCUUUGGUGAAUGUUAAUAUUCGGGGGUUUUUGUUGAAGGGUUUUAGGGAUAGUUUGAUUUGGAGUCUUUGGGAAAAUGGGGAAUUGUUUGCUGGUGGGUUUACUUGUUGCUGUUGUUGUCUCUCAUUUUGAGUUUUUGAAUUUUGGUGAUUCUGUUGUUAUAAGGUUUUUGAGUUGUUGGUCUGGUUAGCUGCAAUUGCUGUUCAAUUCAGAAAUUUGAGCAGUGAGAACUUAGAUUAGGUUGAGUUGUAGUGGCGAUUUUAGUGGUGAUUUUUUUUGUUAAAGCUACGCAUUUGAUAUAAUGAGGAGUAAUGGGUUUGAUCAUCCACUAAAAGAUGUAGACAAGGAGGAAGGUGUUAGAGGGAGCAAGACACUGAACAAGGACUUGGGGCAGACUGAUGGUAUUGAUGAACCAAUGAACAAGGAAUAUAUGUCUUCAGAAAAAGAAUACAAUGCACGCGCUUUUCAGAGUUUAGAAAAACAGAAGACAAAUUCAUUGGAGCAGUCACCAGUUGUGGGGAUUUCUCUGUCUAAAAAGGAGGAUGUUCAUUCUUCACCUCGAGCAAGUUAGUAUCAGAAAAAAAUCUUGUUUGUAUUUAUGCAUUUAGAGCUUAUAAUUGACAUUGUUAAAUCUUCUAGGUGAAACUUUUACAGUGGUUAAUUUCAUUGGAUGCUCAUUGCCAACAAUUUAAUUUAUUACUGAAUUAUAGAACUUUAGAGUGUAAUCUGGGCUGCGCAUCUUGAUUCUGUAGUUUUGUGAUACGCAGCUGAACAAUUACUUAGUUGUUUAUUCGCAUCUUUUGGUAGAGAGUAUAAGUUUAUGAAACAAUACUUUGUUUUUUGAGUAUAAAAACUUAAUGGCCAAACUUCAGAACUAGAUAAAUGAUGAAUGUUAUCACUUUCUUCAUCUACAACCUUUAUUAAGAUGUUUACUGACGCCAUAUUAUCGGCUGUUUGAAGGUUUGGAUCAUUGCAUUACUGCACCUAUUACACGUAGAGAUUCACUUACUGAUAUGAAUGAGUUCAGAUACUCAAGGUCCAUGACAGAGAAGAAGUCGAUGCCGAGGCAUGACCUGAAAUUGGAUAGACUGUCAGAGCGUGAAAAGGUAUAUAACAAAAAUCUCAUGCAUGUGACGAGUUUUUCUGCUCCUGCCUACUCAAGAGCAUGAAAAGGUAGAUAACAGAUUCACUCGCACAUGACUGCAAGUUUAAAUGCUAUUGCUUGCUUGUAUAUGUUCAAGUUUAUCAUGAUGCAACAGAUGCCAAUGUGUUUCCUAGAUGUUGCAAUACAUAUCUGGCUUAUUUCUCUAACUGCAUACAUAGCACACUGAAUGUGCUUCCCCCUGAUUUCUUUUGAGGGAAAAUAAUAGCUCUUAUAUUUGAUCAUCCUAUGUCAAUUUAAUCCCUAAUGUUGAGAAAGAAUAUUGAAAGUAUUGUUUUAUGGACAUCAUUAUUUUGUAAUUUAACAAUUGUGGAACUUGUUGCCUGGUUCUUUCUCUUGUAAUGAAGUGGUUAACUAGUUCUUUCACAUUUUGGGACAAUCUGUUAUGGUUUUUGGUUAAACAAUCAUUCUUUUACGUUCUUGAUUAUGGAAGGUGUAACGAAUGCUUGUCUUUUUUUAUCUUGCCCUCAAUGUGUCUGUAUUUGUUUCCAAAAUUAUCUUUCUUCUAUGAUACAUGAUUUCUACAAAUCUUUUCCCCUCAGAAAAAGCUGAUUGUGGAACUAGUCAGGAUUCAAAAUGACGGGACUGUAGAAGUGGAUUUAGAUAAAAGUACACCUGUAGCUUCAGAGUUUUUGGAAUUUCAACCUGUCGAAGGGCCACCUAUCAUUUUGGAUGACACCAGUUUUUCUGAUUCCAAGAAAUCGAUCCCAAGAUUGAAUAUUGCCAUACUUGUGGUUGGAACAAGAGGAGAUGUACAGCCAUUUCUGGCUAUGGCCAAGAGACUUCAGGCAUGCUUGACAUGAUUCAUUUUUCUUCCAGUUCAUGUUUGUUAAUAUUUGUUCUGUCACCACAAGUUUUUAUUUUCAAUGUAAUCUUAUUGCAUUAUGUAAGAGGUUAGGAUCAGCUUCUUUUGAGAUUUUAUUCUAUGCAUAAACCCUUUUGAAGGUUUCAUAUCGAGGCUUCUACAUGAUUUGAAUUAUUGAUCACUGUGUGUGAGUUAUGUCUACAUAUAUGUGGUUCCAAUGACGUUGUAUCUUAAUUGAUCUUCCAGCAUUUAAUUUGUCGUAGAAAAGCCUAGAUAAUUACAUAUUUUCUGUAAUAGUAAUCUAAUUAUUUGUAGUAAAAAAAUGUGUUUGGCCUUUUUCUGCAGGAGUUUGGUCAUCGUGUUAGGUUGGCAACCCAUGCUAACUUCAGGACUUUUGUAAGGUCAGCCGGGGUAGACUUCUUUCCUUUGGGCGGUGAUCCUCGGGUUUUGGCAGGAUGUAAGAGGUCCCUUACUUGAAAUUUUUUGUUUUAAUCUUUAACUGCAAUAUACUUUCUUUUUUUUUCAGUGGUUAUUUUGUUAUAGGAUCCAUGAUUUAUUGUUCUUUGUUAGGUAACUCCUUUGUGUUCUUUUCUUUUAGAUAUGGCACGGAAUAAAGGUCUGAUCCCUUCUGGACCGGGAGAAAUAUCGAUACAAAGAAAGCAGAUAAAGGCCAUUAUAGAAUCUCUUCUUCCAGCAUGCACAGAUCCGGAUAUAGAAACUGGUGUACCUUUUAGAUCUCAAGCAAUUAUUGCAAAUCCUCCUGCUUAUGGUGAGUCCAUGGGAAUGGAAUGCUGUAUUUUGCCUUAGUUGUAUAGUUAAAUGUUUACAAGAAAAUUUGUAAUUGUAUUUAUACAUAAGAAAUUUAAGUCCAUCCAUGGGGCAGUUGAACAUGAAUUUUACAUGAGGUCUACUUAAGCUGGAAGUUUGGGCAUGUAUGUUUCUCUAAUCCAUCUGAGUCCACUUUGAUAAUUGAGUCCUUGCUCAUCCCUCAUUGGUGCACAUAAUUUUGGAUCUUGAUGACAGUUGCUCAAGUGCAAAUAUUUGAUAGAAUAUUUAUUUUAAGACCUUUAAUUUGCUAUUUAAGCGUGAAUGGAAUUGAAAACAGGAAAAAGAACUGAUUCUAUAUCCAUAUGUUUUUUCAUGGUGAGGUAUCUCUUUAACCGAGCAUGAAAAUGAUAUUUGCUUGUUUCUGAGAGGGAACAAUUAUGCAAUAAGGAUAUGGAGCCAAAAGAGGAAGAACAAUUAUGAAGAUGAGGGCUGCAAAUGAAAUGCAUCUUAAAAUCAUUAGAUAAUCCCCAGUUGUUGACUAGUUAAUAAAUUACUUUCAGUUGUCUUUAUGCAGCUCGAAGUCAUAUAUGAUUUCAUCAGAAUUUUGUCAUUCAUGAUAACAUUUAUGAACUUACACUGCAAUUUUGAUUUUUCAUCUCAUUGAUCUCAUUCUAUUUUAAUUAUUGAUAUAUUUUUUUGAAUGGUGUAACAUUAAAUUUUGACAUCUUCUUUGGAUUGCAGGGCAUGCCCAUGUUGCUGAAGCUCUUGGUGUACCCAUUCACAUUUUCUUUACGAUGCCAUGGACGUGAGUUUUGACUAUCCUUGCACGUCAAUAUGUGUUUUAUAUUGCUUUUGUAACCCUAGUAUGAGGCCAUAAAUGUCGAACAUUUUUAAACUUGAAUACAAUUUCAUUGAUAAAAUAAUAGAACUCAAAAUACUAUUGUUGUUCCCUGACCUAUUAGCUUAAGUUUUUGGGUUGAUUGCUUUUUCAAUCAGUUUUUGUGUUGGCCUGUUAUAGCUUAAAAUGUACCAUUGUGAUUUUAUCUGUUAACAUAAGCUUUUGAGUAUGAUGAUAACUUAAUAAGUACACUUGAAAAACAAUGAAAUAGUUUAAUUCUUUCCAGUGUUAAAUUCUGUGACAUUGUCUGAUACUGUUUUUACUAGGUUGAAAUUAUUCAAGCAUAACAUCACUUCUUUCCUUGAAUUAUAUUUGGAGAGUGUAUUUGCAAAUUUUUCCUUUCAAGUAACUUAAAUUGGUCUUCAAUGUCAAGAACAAUGAAUUGGGUACAUGUCACAUGUGGUACCUUGACUGAAAAGAAUUCAAACUCUUGGGGAAAGGAGGAUUUGCUGAAAAAUAUGGCACGCAUAAAUCCUUUGUGCAAACAUGAUUACAAAAACGUUGACAUUGUUAAAGAACAGGGUUGCUGCAUUCUGGAUUGUCAUUUUCUGACUGCCAUGAAACUAAAAAUGCAGCAGGGCAAUUUUAAAUGGUAAAAUGGGGAGAUAUAGAACAAGAGCUAGUAUGAAUCCAAAUACGCAUGAGAUAAGUCAUGGACAACUGCAUGUUAUUGUCAAAAGCUGGUUAAUAUCAAGUAAAACUUUGUUUGAGACUUCCUACUUACUUCUAUUCUCAAUAGACAGGCCAACUUAUGAAUUUCCUCAUCCGCUGGCACGUGUACCCCAAAGUGCUGGAUAUUGGGUAUGUUCUUGACUGUGGCCAGUCCACCUUUUUUGCUCUCGCCUUUUUCAAUGUUGGUUUUUCCACUUUGUUGGUCAUGCCUGCUUACUUGCAUUGACAAAUCUGCCUUUACUGUCUCAUACUUGCUGAAUCCAGCUUUCUUAUAUAAUUGUGGAUUUGCUGAUAUGGUGGGGCAUUAGGAGCUAUAUUAAUGACUUCAGGAAAAGGAAGUUGAAGCUUCCCCCUAUUGCAUACUUCAGUACAUACCACGGAUCUAUAUCUCAUUUGCCAACAGCCUAUAUGUGGAGUCCCCAUCUUGUGCCAAAGCCAAGUGGUGGGUUUAUUACUGACAAUGGAAAUAUUUGCUCUUUCUAUAGGAUUGACUUCGUUCGCCUAUUGCAGAUUGGGGCUCUUUAGUUGAUGUUGUUGGAUAUUGCUUAUUAAACCUUGGGUCGAAGUAUCAACCACAAGAAAACUUUGUUCAGUGGAUUCAAAGAGGACCCGAACCUAUUUAUAUAGGGUUUGGUAGCAUGGUAUGUGACCUCACUAAAGCUUAUUGAAAUGAUUUAUAGUUCAAAUUUUCUUUGUUAUGUUUUCUUAUAGUUCCUUGUCAUUGUUGGAGGCCAUCAGGCCAAUAAACUGCAUUUUGAUGAUUUAGUGGGAGGGUUCCACAUUCCAGUCAGAGUAAUUUGACACUAUAGACCUUUUUAUGAGAAGGAAAUAAUGAAAAUUGGAACCUUCUCUGAUCUUUUGAAUUUUGAACUCUUUUGCCAGUGAAGAUUACUGCAAAAUUCUUAGACACUACACAAAAACAGAAGUCAAGAACACUAGUCUUGGAAAUUCAUCAGAAUCAUAAAGGAGUAAUUCUGAUUCCCCUUUUUGGGCCUCCGACCCCCUGUUAAAAUAAUUUCUAAUUUUCCCAUUGCUGAUGGUGUCCUAUGUUUUCUUUAAUAAUACUCUACAUGUAAUUGACUUUUGUGCAAAUACUUUAGCAAUAUUAUUGGAUUUUUUUUUUUUUUCCUUUCCCCCUGUUUCUUUUCAUGAAUGUUAGUAUUGAGAAUGCAAUUGUUACUUGUUAAGCCUCUUGAAGAUCCCAAGAAAACAACAGAGAUUAUAUUGGAGGCACUGCAGGAUACCGGACAAAGAGGAGUUAUUGAUCGAGGUUGGGGAGAUCUUGGAAAGAGUAUGUUGUUUCCUUUAUGUUUGCUGCUUUCUGGUUAGCUGGUUGAUGCUCAAAGAUUUUGCCGCAUGGCUAGGGAAUAAGUUACAAAUUAUAGUUUCUGGGUUGAUGUUUACCAAAUUUUGCUUCAUGCCUACCAGUGUACUAUAGAUGUCAUAAAGGCUGCAAUUGCACUUAAAUAAGGAACAUUAACUGAAGAUUUUUUCAUUAUGAUUUAUCUUUUUAUUUUAGAUGCAUUUACCUUGGUUGAUUGGUGCUUUUCAUCAACUCAGGCGAUACUUCUAUCUUGCAAUUGAUUACAUUUUAGGAAAUCAUUCAUUUUCAAACUAUUUGGAUCAAAUAUUCAGCGGCAAGGAUCAAAUUACAAAUAUUUGGAAAUCAUGAAUUUAUUACCAAGUUUUUCCAUGUAUAUUUCUUAAUUUUCCAAAUUUAUUUUUGGCCAUUAGUGUGCUAAAUGAUCAUUCUGAAAAUAAUAAUUUUAGGUUUUUCUAAUUUUCAAAUAUUAUUAUAACGGGUUCUUUGUGUUGUAUGAUGUGUUUGAUUUGUGUGUUUUCCAAUAAAUAAAUAGUGUAGGUGUCUAUUGCUAGUUUUGAAUAUUUUCACCAAUGAGUUAUGCAUUUCCCAACUUUUGCUUCUUAAUGCUUGUACUGUCAAAUGAUGAUAUUCUCAAGGGCCAGCUCCCAGAAAUAUUGAAACUUUGUAAAGUAUCUCAUAUAUGUAUUUAAAAUGACAUUAUUAUUAUUUUUUCCUAUUUACAAGAAAUAGACCUGUGGAACAUCUCUGACAAAUCAUUUCGCAUUCUACAGUUACAGAAGUUCCUGAUAAUAUAUUCCUUCUAGAGGAUUGCCCUCAUGAUUGGUUGUUUCCUCAAUGCUCUGCUGUGGUGAGUUUUCUUUUAUCCUUCCUAAAGUGAAUUUCUUUAUGUGGAUAUAUGUGGUUAUCGCUACUUCAGUGUGUAGCAUAAUUAAGGAAUGUAUGUUCAGAAAACAUAGCUGAUUGCAGCACCCAAAUUAGAGGUAAGAGGAAGAAUUUUGUGGUAGUGAAUAGAGAUGUGUUCUUAGUUUUGAAUAUGGGUGGACUUAUAACCAUCUAAUAUUGACUAUAACAUAAGAAUUUUAUGGCAGAUUAUAAAGAUUUUAAAUCAAAAAUUAUACCUCUAAAGAUAAAACCAAAAAAUGCUUCAUGUUGCUGUUGAAAAUUAGUUGUUGAAUAUGACAAACUUGAAAGAUAAAAUGAAUAUCAAGUUGUAAAGUUGUUUAUUUUUUUCCUCUACCGCACUAAUAAAAAACUUCUAAGAGCGUAAAACUUAUCAAGCUAUUUGGUGUGAGUUACAAGGCUCCAAUCUUUGCAAAAGGCACAAACUAUAUAUAUAUGCUGGAGUGAGACUAGAAAAAACAGUGUGUAAGGCAUGCCUCGCUCUGAUCCUCCAUGCCUUACUUCGCCAUGGAUGAUGUGAAAUUUUUAAUAGUGCAUUCUUCUUUGAGUGUGAUGCAAUUAUGUUUGUGAAAACUCAAUUAACUUGAAGCCUUAUGCCCUGGAUGUGCAGGUUCAUCAUGGAGGAGCUGGAACUACAGCUACAGGGCUAAAAGCUGGGGUAAUAUUCUGUAUUUUUUUUUCAUUAUUCUUCUGUACUGCAUUCUGAAAUAGAUCUUUUCAGAUGAGUCCAUAUAGUUAGAUCUUACGUUACGAAAGACACUUGGUCAUAUGUCUGACUGUUUGUAAUAUUCAACUGGCUGAUCUUGUCUAACAUCAAAUUUAUUAAUUAGUGUCCAACAACCGUUGUUCCUUUCUUCGGAGACCAGUUCUUUUGGGGCGACAGAGUGCAGCAGAAAGGGCUGGGACCUGCACCAAUACCAAUAUCUCAGCUUACUGUUGAAAACCUUUCAAAUGCUGUAAGAUUUAUGCUGCAGCCAGAGGUAAUUUUGGAGUUGGCAUUCCUUUUUCAGAAUCUGAAAAGUGACACCCACCAGAGACUUCAGAGAUUUUGGUUCUUAACUGGACUUUGGCUCUCUCAGGUGAAAUCCCGAGCAAUGGAGUUAGCGAAGUUGAUAGAGAACGAAGAUGGUGUUGCCGCUGCAGUUGAUGCAUUUCAUCGGCAUUUACCUGAUGAGAUACCAAUGCCUUCUUCGUUACCAGAAAAAGACGACGGGCCUGACCCUUUGCAGUGGUUUUUCAUUCAAAUUGGAAAUUGGUGCUGUCAGCGUUGUGGUGGUGUGUAAACUUCAUAGGUCAACCUAGUGUUUUAUAGGUACUGUUUUCCCUUUCCAAUUUUCUUUCUUUAUAUUUGUUGGUAUCAUUUUAGUUGAGCAAUCCAUUCUUUCAUUUGUGGCUUUUAUGUACCUGUUUGAUUGAUAGGAAUAGAAAAAGAAACAUACUGGUGUAGAUUUCUCAUUACAUUUGCGGUAGUAUCAUUUUUCUUGCAGUAGUAUCAUGUUUCUCCUGCCUGUGUAUAAUGACAGAUCAUUUUAUUAUAAGUAUUAUCGACUUAAGCUUGAUUAUCAAAUCUAUUUAUGUGCUGUCUAGCUUAUUUUGUUCUGAUUGAACAAAAUAUCAUGCCCAUAAAUGUGAGCAGGAUUCGAAUCUCACAAUUCCUACUUAUAACCAAAUAAUUAUCCAGUUUAAUGAUAAGGAUAUUAUCCUAUAACUACGGUUUUUUUUUUGUAUAAUUUUGUCACCAAAGUUUUCUGGCAAUUGCCGUUUUCCAUUUCAUGUUUCAGUUUUUAUCUGUUUAUCAUCAAACCAUUAACUCCAUUAAGAAAUUGCUUCUAAUAGGGGUUUUUUAGAAAUUGUAAUAUUUUUAGUAUUUUAAUAGUUUUAUGGUUUACAAUAUUUGUAAUUUUAUCAAUUGAUUAUUUUAAAUAUAUAAAAUAAUCAAUUGACAAAAACAUUAUGUCUUUGUAUAUAAUUAAUUUUAUAUUUUUUUAUUAUUCGAGGAUUAAAUUGUACUUACACAGUUUAGGAGUAAAAUAGUAAAAUAGACUUUUACUACAACUACUACUAAAAUUAUGUUAUUUUUAACAAUUUGGUAGAAAAAUGAUAAAAACUAAAACAAAAAGUGGGAAAAAUACAGUUGUCGUAAAAUUUUGGUGAGAAAGUGAAAUGUUAGAAAAUAUUUAAGUGGUAAAAUAAUAGUAUUGAUGUUAAUUGAAACAAUUAAAAAUAAAAAAUAAAACGAGCAUGAAAUUCAAUCAUACAGCAAUGUAUCUAUAGUAUAUUAGACAGCAACUAUACGAGUGUACAUAGUAGAAAGUUCCUCAUAUAAUAUAAUGUGUAUGGCUAACUUGCUACUAAAAUAGCAAGAUUUACACCCAUCAGUGAUUAUUUCUUGUAAAGUUUGAUAUCUCUCCAUCUUGAGUCCAUGUAAUUGCUCGAGCCUGCAGGAGCAGCAUAAACACCGCAUUUGAAAUACAAGUCUCCGGGUCCCUGAUCAUUCACCACAAACUUCUGUUCGCCGUCGAUGAAAACUGUGAUCUUCCCGUUUCCCACAUCAUGAAUGACAUUGAGUCUGAACCAUUUAUCGUACAGAUCUGUCGCCACUACGUUGAAUUUAUAGUAUUUCAUAUCUCCAUUAUAAAUUCUAAGUUGCAGGGUUGUGGCUCCCUCGGAUGCUCCAUGAAUCUGCAUAAUUGUUACGCCGGAUGUGCCUUUUGGGACAUAAGCAUAGCCCUCAAAUUGCCAAAUUCCGGAUGAGUAAUCAUGUCCCUGAAAUAGAGUCAAAAUACUUGAGAAACGUCCUGAAAAAUUCAGCUUAUGCCUUGAGGUACAAAUUAACUUGAACCUUCUACCUUUAUGCGCACUUCAGUACGCGGUCUGGUGCCGCUGCUAGACUUGAAGGGCUUGUCGUGGUUGUAAACCCAAAAACUUCGUACCCCAUCUUUGUAACUGUAACGAGUUCCCAGGGGUUCGUUGUAAGGUUUCUGUAAGACGAAAUUUUCCUCGGCUAACGCCACUUCAGUGAAUCCGUCAGUAGGAUCAGCGCCAAAAAUUUGAUGGCAUUUCAUAGAGCAUAUAACAAGUAACAACAGGAAGCUGUAGUGGCAAGACUUACUCAUUUUCCCAAAUUUUCUGGCAAGUACAGAACCUGUAAAGCUAAUUACCACCCCAGUAGUAUCUUGGAUGCAUUUUUAUAAUCAGAUUUUACAGGGGGUUUUUCGAGUCCAAACAAUAUUGAAAUCAGCUGGUUAAAUUUAUCUUCUUGUUGCGGGUAAAUAAAGUAAUAGGAAAACUUUUCGGCAAGUUUCUGACCAUUGACUGCUAUGAUUGUUUUUAUCAAAUCAAAGUGGGAAUUAUGUGCAAAGAAAAUUCAGCCAAUUAUUAUGACAAUUGAUAGCGAGUCUUAGGAAUACAACAUUGUUGUCUCUGUAAAUUGUCAUAUAGCAUCACUUCACUAGUUUGUCCUACAGUAUCCACGUCAUUUAGAGGUUUUGCUUUGUCAGAUUGAAUUAGUUUAUAUUAUUUUGCUUAUCCUUUACGGUAUAGCUUCGCUCAGAGAAAAUCAAAAUCAUUUUCGAUUGUCACUCUUUGUACACACAUAACCGGAAUAAAUUUUUAUCCUGCAGUAAGAGUGAUCUAAAUUUUUAUCCAGAGGAGAACGAUUAUAUUAUAUACAUGUAUGUAUCCUAUUCUUCAGCUUCCAAUUUCCACAAGUAAACUGGGGACACCACAUUAUGUUUCCAUUUCAUCAAAUUCAUGUUAAUGUUAUCCUAUUCAUAUAUAAAAUCCCACAUAACAGAUUGCCUUUUUGACAUUUUUGACACCGCCAUUAGAAAAGGCUAAGGUUCGUCAUCAUAUUUUUUAUUUUUUUUAAUCAAUGCUUAUGCUCUUGAUUUUCUCCACCCAUAAUUUAUUGAACUGUCGAAACAAAUUUAGUGCAAGUUUGGGCAUCGAUGGAUUUUGCUUAAAACAUGUAAACCCUAUCACACAGGCUUUUUGUUCUCUGCUUGUUUCCAUUUCAUUAUCACUUUUGCUUCUCAAACUGCCAUCACAUUGUUGUUUAUUUGCUUUCCAUAACUAACCUCAAUUUCUAAUUGGAGAAUGAUGCUGCUGCCAACUUUGUCUUUUGUAGCAUUGAGAAGCCUAAGGUUAUUUUGUUUGAUUACUUAAAACUUCUUAAUGUUGACAUUUCUGGCCCCAGUUUGAAUAUUUUGUCCAAAUUAUUGUCUCAACUCAAAUUUCGGAAGUAAUAUCAUUGAUAUUGGAUUGAUUCCUCAUCAGACUUGUGCAUGAUUUAUUCUCUUAACAUUUUCUGAAGGGGGUUCGUUGUGUUCCUUUGGAUGUCUUCUUGUUACUGUCAGGUAUAUGGAAUCUAAACUGGGGAAUAUAUUUGCAGUUUAAUUUCCUAAAUAUAUAUUGUAAAAUUUAUUCUAAAAGGGGAUCACACGCAGUGCUUUGCGGAAUUGAAAAUGAUUCAAUGAGUCCAGGACAUGCAAUUUUUCCAAGCUCAUUAACCUAAGAUUUUCCCAACUUAAUAACGCUUUCUGGGUGAAAGAUGCUUGUAAGGACAGGGGCACUUGUUACAUCCCCACAAGUGAAUGCGAAUCUUAAACAAUCUAUAAGUCUCUGAUAUCUCUACUCAGUUUCCCGGACUGGACGCCGGUCUAUUAAUUUCUUCAUAGUCACAGCUCCAACGUUACACAAUUUACACAACAGAGCACACAGCUAGCAUCAUAAAACCUCCGAAAUUUAUUUCUCAACCCAAGGUGAUAACAAUGAGCUACAUUAUUCUUAAGUUCAGGAUUCACACUUCUUAAAAAUUUUGAUGUCUCUCCACCUAGACUCCAUGUAAUAGCUUAUAUUAGCAGGAGCAGCAUAAACUCCACAUUUGAAAUACAAGUCCCCUGGCCCUUUAUCCUUAGUAGCAAAUUUUUGAACACCAUCAAUAAAAACAGUUACCAUCCCACCAUCCACAUCAUGAAUGAUAUUAAGCCGAAACCACUUGUCGUACAGGUCAGUAGCCACCAGAUCAAAGCUGUAGUACCUCAUGUCGCCGUUAUAGAUCCUUAGGAUCAACGUAGUAGCCCCGUGAGCUGCGCCGUGAAUCUGAGCUAUUGUAGCACCAGAGGUUCCGUUUGGCACAAAACCAUACCCUUCAAAUUGCCACACUCCUGACGAAUAGUCCACGCCCUGCAGAAAUUCAAAAGAUUAAAGAACUUAACAGCAAAGUGUCACAUCUUUAAUCUUCUUUUAGAAACCCACAAACAUAUUUGAUAUUUUGCUGAAUUUAAUUAAGGUUACGCGUAUGCGGAUUUCUGUGCGCGGUUGGGUGAGACUGUUGGGAUCAUGAGGCUUGUCAUCAGCAUAGACCCAUAAUUUGUGCACCCCAUUUUCAUAGCUGUAACGUUCUUCCAGUGGUACAUCAUAUGGUCUUUGCAGUUCCAAGUUUUCAGGUGUCAAUGCCAUGGGGCUGAAGCCAUAUGUGGGAUCGGCAGAAGCAUAACACAGAAUGAUUUUGAACUUGUUCAGUAAAACCACAAGAAGAACAAAGGGAAGCAUGUAGCUUUUGGGCUCAACCAUUUUGGUCAGUCACUUUGCCUGGACUUGAGAUGCUCUGUGAAGCACUAGCCACCAGGCAAGUAAAUACAUAUAUAUAACUCAAGUAACCAAUUCUUCCAAUCAUGCCUUGCUAUGAAAUAAUAAAUGUUAUCUUAUCCACCUAAUGUGUCAAGGUGACAACACUCCUUGCUAAAUAAAAUUUUAGGAAAGACCCACAACUAUUUAUUUUUUUUCCUUUAGAAAAGUAGAAUAUUCAAUUUUCCUUAGCCGUAUUAAAUUUCUCGUCACGCUAUUGGGCCUUAUACACCUUGCGCCUGCCAUCUUCUUUCAUUGGGCCUGAGAUCCAAUAAUAUUGUUUUUAAUUGUUAAUUUUUUGAAUAAAUGAGUAGCAAAAAUAAAAACUAAUUAACUUUUAAAUGGGCUUUUAAUCUGCAAACACAAUCAACAGCUUAUUAAUUAACCUAUUCACAUAAUAAUUAAUAACUGGAUAGCUUUAUUACCAUUUCUACCAAUAAUAAAUUAAUAAUAAUAACAAACUUCAAUUAUGUACAGUUAGGAGACCAAAGUCUUCAGCUUGAGUUCACUACACUCCAGUGACAUUCCUUCGUCGGAGAUCAUGCGGUUGCCGGCGGCGAGGAGCGGCGGAGGUCUGGGCAUCGCCGCCAUGUCUUACAUCUUAAUAGACUACCUGCGCCACCUGUCUCCGGCGUGGCACGCGCGCUUGCAGCCGGUGCUCUGGACCGUACUGGCUCUGAUCGCCAUCACACGUGUCCCCUAUUACAGGCACUGGACCGCCGAGUUCCGGGCGGCAAUUCCAUUCGUGGGUUCAAUGAUUUUCAUGCUAUCUGCUCUUCUCUUCGAGGCUCUCUCCGUUCGCUUCGCUACUGCAGUGCUUGGCCUUGAUUGGCACAGGUAACUGUGCUGGACAUAAAGAUAUAAACCUUUUGUGGUUUGUUUGAUUCUGUUGGUCAGUUUUAUAUUUUUAUUCUUUUUGGAUCUAAUAAUGUUGCGAGGCAACCUCUACUGUAGAAUGGAAUUGAUGACCCAGGAACUUAUCAUUUUGUUUUUCCUUAAUCGUCUUUCAAAUUCCGUAUUUACUGGUGAACUUAGCUCAAAAGUACUGAUGACCAAGCAACUUAACAUUUUCUUAAUUGUCAAAUCAUUGUAGCUUUAAUGUCCCUGUAUUCAUCACAAACCGUAUGGAACAUUUAUGACUUUAAAUCUGGUGUUGAUUAAUGUGUAAUGUUCACAUGAAUUAUCUUCUGCAUCUCUAGGUUUUUCUACUUCCCUUGAGUUGAGAGACAAUACCUUUCAGUUUUUAGCUAUUUCAUCUUUGAGUAUCUCCAAUGCUUUAAAAACAGGAUUAUUGAUUGGCUUGGCAAUGUCCAACAGUGAUACAGAUCCUCUGCCUGAUACUGGUCAGUGGUUGCUCCUGGCAUUAAAUGAGAAACUUCCUGGAACAAUAGUCCAAAUAUUGAGAGCUCGUAUCAUUGGGCUACACCACUUUCUGAUGUUGUUUAUGAUGCUGGCUUUCUCUGUACUAUUUGACUCUGUAGAAGCUCCUGGCCUUGGGCUAGGUGCAAGGUAUAUGUUCACUAUGGCAGUCGGCCGACUCCUUCGGGCCAUAACAUUUGUAUCUACCAUUCUGCCGUCAGCCCGGCCUUGGUGCGCUUCGGCAAGGUUUAGAGUCCCCGCGUACCCUCAUUACUGGGCACAGAAAUAUUAUGUGCCUUAUGCUUCAGAUGCCAGUGCUAUUCGUCAGAUUAUAAAUCAGGAUAUGGCUUAUGGUAUGUGUUGCUUAUCAAAUUCAAUUUGCGUUGUCUCCUUGGCUAUCUGGAUUUAGUGUCUGAGUAUCUUCAUUUUUUGCUGGGAGUCUGGGACCCCAAUUGGAUGUGCUGCAGAGUGCUCAGUCAGCUUCUGUUUUGUGUUGAUACUCUUUUGUUUUCCAUUCGGCUCCUCUCCUUCAUUUCUUCCAACUGAACAUGGACUUAGGAUUUAGGUAAUGGAUGAUGUUCAAUGGCCCUAUACUGACCACUAUAAUUCAACUGAUAAAAGCAAAUUAUUCUGAUUAUCAAGUCAUGCAAUCAAGUGCUUGUGGCUCAUGCCAGAUGAAAUAGAUUCAAGAUUCCUAACUGUCUUUUCUAGAUAGACUAAACUUUACUGAUGAAAUAUGACAGUACCUAUCUUAUAUGAGGCAUUCGUUCUUCAAUAUGAUGUGCUAUCCUAAAUUCAUAUUAAGUUUGUCUCAAUGACUGGAAGGGUCCUGUUAACACCUCUAUUAUCUUUUUCAGCUGAUGUUGGUAAUUAUCCGAGUGACUAUCGACUGGAUUGGGGUUCUAUGAGUUUCUUAAUUGACUUCCUGCGACCGACUGCAUCAGAAGGAUCUUCAUGGUUCAGUCUGCUGAAGAAAGCUGGUGGUGGCUGCAAUGACCUUAUAUACAGUGGUCACAUGCUUGUUGCUGUACUGACAGCUAUGGCUUGGACGGUAUUCAUACAAAUCCAUUGUCAAGCAAUGAGAAUAAAUGACUAAUUACAUACUCUUAUCAGCCUUUGUUUCUUAAAAUGAUUGCAGGAGGCUUACGGAGGCUUUAGCUCGGCUCUCGUAUGGCUGCUUGUAAUGCACAGUGCCCAGAGAGAAGUUCGGGAACGCCACCACUACUCUGUGGACUGCAUUGUGGCAAUAUACGUAGGCAUCCUCCUCUGGAAGAUGACAGGUUUUAUCUGGCCACUCAAGGAUGCAUCCAAGAGUAAACGGCUCAACAAACUUGAUAAAAUCCAAAGUAGACUACUCCAAGCCGCUAAAGACUCGGACAUGGACAAGGUAACCGAGCUUCUCAAAGAAGUUGAGCUAGGCGGUCAAGAAACCCAAAACAAAGGCCCCAGCAAGGGCCUGUGGUUGUUUGCAUGCGCCAUAAUUUUCUUUGCACUCACCAUUGUUGUACUCGCCUUCACGUUGACGAGCGAUGGAUGAUUUUUUUUCCGAUCUGGACAUUGUUGUAUUUCUAUGUAGUGCAACAUUUUGUUAACGGGGAAAGGUUUUGAUUUUUAUGCUGCCAGAAAUGGUGUUGGGAGUAAUAAGACAAUUUUAGCAGACAAUUUUAGCGGCAUAACAAAUUAACAAUUAACACGUUGAUACAAAGGAUGACUUGUAGCUGUAUUAUGUGACCUUUAGGUAGCUCCUUGGCUUUUUUCUGUUGCUUGGGCUUUCUUAUUUGGAUGAUGAUUGGAUCCUUGAAAUUAUGUUUGAGUUGGACUAUUGGCACCUCUCUCGUCUCCUCAUAAAACCUCUUUUUUAGUUAUAUUCAUUUUAUUUCUGAAAAUAUUUUUUUUUUUAGAUACACUUUUCUAAGUUCUUAAUUUUUAUUUGAUUUGUUUUAUUAUUAAAACUCAAAGUAUUAUUGUACUAUUUUUUAUUUUCAAUUUUAUUAUUAAUCUACACACAAAUUAAAAAGUUAUAUGGGUGAUAAAUUUUUUAGUGUUAAUCAUUGGCUGAAAUAAAACAUAUUUCAAAUUAUAAUUUCAAAGUAAUUUUAAGUAUAAAAAUAUUUAAUCAAUAAAAAAUUAAAAGAGAACAAUAUAUUAUUUUAAAUUUGUAUAAUUUAUUUUAGUUAAAUAGGAAGUAACAUAUAUAUAUUGAAAAGAAUUGAUUAUGAAUUAAGUAAUUUGCUGGAAAAAAAAAUCUUUAUGUGUUUAAUUUUUAAUUGUCUUUAAUUAUAAUUUUAUUUAAAGUGGGGUUUUGUAAGAAAAAUGUAGGGGUGCCAAUAGCUCCACUCAUUAUGUUUUUAUUUAUUUUUCAAUAUUUAUUAUGAAUCCUUUUGUCAACUCCUUUUAUGACCAUUUUGUCAGUUUUGUAUAUAAACAUCUAAAUCAUGAAAAAUAGUCAUAGUUAUGUUUAAAGGAAAAAGUAAAAGAAAAAUUAAUUACAUUCACCAGAUGAAUUUCAAAAUAAAAAUGCCACGUGGGAUUAAAAUUCUCCAAAAAAAAAGGCUGAACACUCUUAAAGUCCCGUCACUAGCAAGGAAAAAAGAAAAAAAAAAGUUCAGAAGCAGAUAUUCUUCAGAGCUUAAACGAGAGUCUUUUGCAACCGUCCGAUAUAAACACAAAAGAAAAUUUCCAACCAUCCGACGAUUCACAAUACGCCGAUCUAGUGAAUUAUCCUACUAUCUGCCCAGCAAAUUCAUGCCGCGGUUAUCUAUCUUGCCUCCGCAUUGCACCUACCAAAUAAACAGAUUCUUUUUCCCCUCCAAACCUGUUGCUCUCUGUCGAUUACAUCCAAAAUACAGAGCUAAAAUAUUUAUUUUAGGAAAAAGUUUGAAAGUCAAUUGCAAUGGCGAUUUCUUUGACGGCGUCUACAAUUCCUUCAUUAAAUGCAAAAGUGUCCGCUAGCAGUUCAUCAAAACUCUCUCGGCUGUCUUCUCUGCAAUUCCCCGUGCAGUUGCGCCGCCUUCGAAUUUCUAACGGCUCGAGAACUUCAUCUUCCUCCAAACGUCGCUUGCUGCCAGUGGUACUCUUUGAUUUUGCUUUGUUUUGAGUAGUUUUUAAUUAAUAUUUGUUUACGAGUUCCUUAAUUGAAAUAAUUACUUUCGGUAGGUUGAAGCGAAGAAGCAAACAUUUUCGUCACUUGAUGAUUUGCUGCAGAAAUCUGACAAGCCUGUGUUGGUUGACUUCUAUGCCACCUGGUAAUUUUCAUCCUUCGCUCAAGAAAAUUUUAACAUUGUAUAAUGAACAUCAAGUUGAUUACUUAGGCUAUAUUUUUUACUUAAUUUUAAUAACAAAGUAGCUAAAUUGUUUGGUGAGCAUUCUUUUUUAUGGCAGCUAAUGUUGAUUGCCUAGCCACUUGCCUAUACUUGUCAGCCAGUAAUUUCAUUCCACAGCUUCUGAUUUUGUUUUUGUCUUGUUUGUUAACAGUUACCAUCUAGUGUUUGCACUUCAAGUUUGUUAAAAGGUUUUAUAAAUUGAAACAUAGACAACUCGUGAUAUGGUUUGCAGGUGUGGUCCUUGUCAGUACAUGGCUCCUAUCCUCAAUGAAGUUGGUGCUGCUCUGAAAGAUAAGAUUCAGGUGGUCAAAAUCGAUACUGAGAAGUACCCUCAGAUCGCUGAUACAUACAGAAUAGAGGCCUUGCCAACUUUCAUUCUAUUUAAGGACGGGAAACCUUCUGAUCGCUUCGUAAGUCAAUUUAAUAUUGUUUUUUUUGUUUUCCUUGAAAAUUUAAUUUGUGCAUCUUUACAAAAUCAUUGUUUAUUCUCGGUGAAAAUGCAUUAAAGUGUCAAGUGACUACUAUGAAUAACCUGAAGAUCCUCUCUUUCCCAUGCCUGUAAAUUUUGGUGUUGAUAUUUGGAUUUGGAAAUUCUUUUCAAGCAUUGUCUUUCACUUUAUUGGAUUCCGUUAUAAUCGAUGUGUAGCUCUGAGGGUUAUCCAAUAUUCCAAAGUUUGUUGCUAGGCCUGGGAUAUUUCCUUUACAUAGAUAGUAUCAUCAUCAAUAACUUAUGCAUUUUGUUGUUUGAGCCACUGGUGUAUUUUUGACUCAGUUAACUGGCAUCAGCAGUAUGCGCAUAUUGUCAUUGUAUGAUUCUUUUUUGCUUUUCAGUUACUUUUUCUGGUAGCUGUUGCCACAGGUUAGUUCUUUCAUAUGCCUGUGGACAUUAAGUUCAAUAACAAUCCUGAUGGUUGAUUGUUUUCAGGAGGGUGCUUUUUCUAAAGAUCAGCUUAUCCAACGCAUUGAGAAUUCAUUGAGCGUCAAGCAAUAGUUGUGGUGAGCUCUAGUUUUUAUUUAUUUCUACUUUUGAGUCUGCCCCAAUGAGUCUAUGUCCUCAAAGAGCCCUUUUAAUUGCCAUUCUCCUGUUGGCUCACUCUCUGCUAUUUUUGAUGUUUUGCAGUUUCUCAGGUUCUACCAGGAAACCAAUGUAAUCAAGUUGUUAGAUUGGAAUAUUGAAUUCAGUAAACAGGGAAUUCACAAGGAAAUUGCCUUUUCGUUUCUUUCCAUUUUUUAUUUUCGAAUCUCUUGUAUUUUUACCUAAAUUUUAUGACCUAUUUUUUUUAGGUUAUGCUGCUGAUUUUUUUACAAUAAAAAAUUUUGAUGACCUACUGUAUUGAAAUUUUGGUGUGAAUUCAUCAUGUUAAUGGUGCUGUCAUGGCAGUUUCUGUGUCUCUUUAGUUUGUUCAAUGAUCUUGGUCUGCAGUAUAGUGGAUGACUACUGACUAGUAAUAAGGGCUCACUCGACACAGUAAAGGGCAUAUAAGAUCCUCCAGAAUGACCAAUGCUUUUCAAGUUUCUUGACUCUAAAUAAUAUACAUUUUAAUUAAGGUUGUAGAUUUCAAGUAUAAUGCAUUGCGAUAUCAUCGCUUUAUCUAUAUUUUCCUUGAAGUUUUAAUAAUAUAGUUACAAAUUCUUAUAUAAAUUUAUUUUGUACCAAUUGAUAUGACAUAAUUAAAUUAAUUGAAUUAAAUAUUUCUUGAUUCACUAUAUUUAUUUUUAUUAUUUUAAAUUUUUUUAAUUAAUGAAUUAAUAUCAAAUCAGUUUGUCCAAACUUAUUUUUACAAAAAUUGAUGAUUGUAUCUUAUAGACUCCUCAUAAUUUGCGGGGAAGGAAAUUGUAGGCUUUUGUUUUUGUUAUUGUGUUUUUUUUUAAUUGUAGGCUUUUGUUUUUGUUAUUAGACUCCUCAUAAUUUGCGGGGAAGGAAAUUGUAGGCUUUUGUUUUUGUUAUUUGUUUUUUUUUUUUUCCGGUUUUUAUGAAAACAAUUGAGUGGAAAAAGCUAUUAGCUAUCUAAUUAACUGGUGUUACUAAAACAACCCUGAUUGGUGUCAACGCUGAAUUAAUAAUAGCGGUGAGCAAGGGGGGUAGGGCCGUCUAUUAAAUGAGAUUAUACCAUAUACCGUCCAGGUGAGAAAUUGCCAAACCCCGAGGGAGGUAAGCGAUAUUACCCUUUCCUAUUCUACUUAUUGACUCCUUCUCUGGCAUCGGCUGAUCAGCAACGGGGAGAUGGAAAUGGAAAUGCGUGCGAGUGAGGAAAUAAGGCAAGGUGAAGACAUAACGCCACCAUUAUUUCCUCUCACUUUCGCAUUUCACGACUCUUUACUCGACGGUCACUGUUCGUCUUGCUUCUCUCCACUUCCUUGUUGCUGCUCUUCCCUCCCCCUCUCCUCCGCCGAACUCCGCGCCGCUCUCUACCUCCUCCACUCCCCUCUUCCCACUUCCUCUCUUCCUCCUCCUCCUCGUCUCUUCGGCUUACUCACCAACCGCGAUAAGCUAAUGUCUUCCUCCGACUCCGAUGUUGCGUCCAAAAUUCGAGAAGGAGCGAGGGAGAUGGCGAGAGCGAGAGGGAAUUUGUCCGACGACGUCGCUUGGGAGGAGGCUGCGUUGUGUUUGGUGAUGACCAAUGCCGUUGAGGUGCAGGAUGAUAAGACAGGGCGUAUUUUAGGUAUCGCCGUGUACGAUAAGGAUUUCUCUUGGAUCAAUCACAGUUGUUCUCCCAACGCUUGUUACCGCUUCUCGCUUUCUGAGCCAAAUGCUCCGUCGUUUCGCAAUGAAAAGAAAAUGCGGAUUGCUCCUCACGUUGUUUUCGACAGCACUGAGGCUGAAACUCCAGUAAAAUCCCAGCUAUGUUGAAAUUUUUUUGAAUUUUUUAACUGACUUGAGCAAGUCGAUAAUUGAUUUGAUGCAGGGAAAGAGUGAUGUUUGUAUCAGUUGUGAAUUAAAAGAAGGUUGCUAAUGCUAAUUGUUGUUCAUUUCUAUAUAAAUUUUGCACAUUGUUUGAUUUUUGCCGUUCUGAAUUUCAUUUAAUUUUAUUUUCAAGGAAGUAAGAGACAUGGUCCAAGGAUCAUUGUAAGGAGUAUUAAGCCAAUUAACAAAGGCGAGGAGGUAACUGUUGCUUACACUGAUUUGUUGCAACCCAAGGUACUACAUUCCAUUUAAAAUCAGCUGAUCAGGCAUGUGUUUUAUUUGAUAAUUUUGCAUAAUUCUAAUUGUUCAAACCAAUUUUAUUUUUGUUCAGGGAAUGAGGCAAUCAGAGUUGUGGUCAAAGUAUCAAUUUGUCUGUCACUGUAGGCGAUGCUCUGCAUCACCCCCAAGUUAUGUAGAUAUGGCCUUAGAGGUAAAAACUUUAUGUAAAUUGUCCGCGGGAAGAUCUCAGUUGCAAACAAGUUGGGCGACAAGUAUUGAACUCUCGAGGGCUUUUUUUUGUUCUUUCCCCAGGAAACCUUUUCUUCAAAUCCCGAGUUUUUGAGCUUGAGUUCUGAUUACAACUUCCUCAAGGACGAGGCAAAUCAAAAGUUGACUGAUUGGAUGGAUGAAGGUACAUCUGAAUAUCUAUUAGUUGGUGAUCCUGAAUCUUGCUGCCAGAAGCUGGAGAACAUCCUUACCCAAGGUCUGCAGGGUGAGCUUUUAGAAUCCGAAAAAGUGAAAAUACAGCUGAAUUUGAGGUUGCAUCCCCUGCACCAUCUCUCACUGAAUGCCUAUACAACACUGGCAUCUGCAUAUAAAAUCCGUUCAAUUGACUUAUUAGCUCUCAAUUCUGACAUUGACGGACAGCAAUUGGAAGCUUUUGAUAUGAGCAGGACAAGUGCCGCAUACUCAUUACUGCUUGCUAGUACGACUGACCAUUUGUUCCGAUCUGAGUCAUCUCUGAUUGCAGCGUCUGCAAAUUUCUGGGCAAGUGCAGGGGAGUCCUUGUUAACUCUUGCUAGAAGCCCAGGGUGGAAUUUAUUUGUGAAACCGGAAUUGCCUAUUUCAACCUCGUCCCCUGAGAUUCAUGAGUGCUCCAAGUGCUCACUAGUGGACAGAUUGCAAGUGAAUCCAUUUCUUAGUCAAUCUCGAAAUGCCGAUUUCCAGAUCAUAUGUAAUGAGUUUCUUGCUUGCAUCACUAAUAUGACACGAAAAGUUUGGGGUUUUCUUACACAUGGAUGUGGGUACCUGCAAAUGUUGAAAGAUCCCAUUGAUUUCAGCUGGCUUCGGCAGUCUUCCAAUUUGUGCCACACUCCAUGCUGCAGUGAUGAGGAAUCCAAUAAGGAAACCGGGUAUCAAGAAAGUAUUUGCAGAAGGGUAAUGCAGCGGUGUGAUGGUGAAGAAAGGAUUACUAUCUUUCAGCUUGGUGUUCAUUGUAUAGCUUAUGGAGGAUAUUUAGCAAAUAUAUGCUAUGGUCCGAAUUCCCAUUGGCCUUGUAAAAUUAAAAAUGUUGUACAAAACGAAGAGAAAUUGGUUCAUUGUUGAAAGAAUUUUCAAUUUUCCUUGCCAGUUAAAUUUUAAAGAACUAUAUGUGAAAGCGCCACUAGAAAUGACUAAUAUGUUUGAUCUGCCAUGCUUUGUGAGAUCCUUAAUAUGAAAUUCUCCUCUAAAUCGCAUAUGAAGGAAGAUGAAUAGAUGAAUAGAUGAUCAAAAGCGCUAGUCAGACAUAAGAGGUCGUGAAAUGGGCAUGGGGGCAUGGGCCAUGACUAUUUUGUAUCGAAAACAGAAUAAUUCCAAUUCACACCUUUAAGUACACCAACGCGGUUCGGGGAGUCCAACUUCAAGAGUAAUGCACCGAUUUUUUUUCCAAAAAAAGAAAGAAAGAAAUUGUUACAAUCCACCUGUACAUUAAUCUACUGGAAGCCUAUAUACAUACAUUUUAUAUAACAGAAUUUCAGAUUUGGAAAUCCACCCUUAUAUACCACUGGGGUUCAAAUCCAAUGUAAUGCAGUGAUGUUAGAUCUGAAUUUUAUUUGCACAAUUUUCAAAACUAAUUGUUAGAGUUUUGGAUCAUCUAAAUUGUUAGACAGAAAUUAAGUAGGAAUGGCAAUGGGGCAGAUAUGGGUUGGAUCUACUCUGCUCCAGAUCCAAAUCCAUAAUAAAAAUUAAGAUCCGUAUCUGCUCCAGAUCCGUUAUGAAUCCAUAUUUUUCGCUCCAUAUCCAGAUCCAAAAGAGAAAUAAAUAUCUAUAUCUGCUCCAAAUCCGAAAAAAAAUUAAUAUCCAAAUCUGCUCUAGAUCCGUCAUGAAUUCUAAAAUUCCGUAAUAAAAAAGUAAUAAUUUUUUAGAUUGAAAAUUGAAGGCUAAAAUGUAUUGAUAACAAAUAAAUUAUAUAAUUUUUCUCAAAAAUAUAAUAAAUAUUGUAGCUUAUACUUCUACACCAAAACAACAAAUAAGAAAGAUAAUAAAAUAUCAUUCAGAAGUAAUUGCAGGAGUAAGAUCAAUCUAAUAUUUUAUUGUCUCAUUCAUCAUUCUAGUAUCCACGAUACACCUACCCUCAUUUUUAAGUUUUAAGAGUUUAAAUUCAUGGUAAAUACUACUAAUAUGCUAUGAAUAAAAUUUAUUAUCAUUAUCAUUCCACAAUUAUUAAGAAACUUUUAAAAUAAAAUAAAAUUAAAAGAUGAGUGGAUAUGGAUAUAGAUUUAGAUAUUAAGAUAGAUCCAUAUCUGCUCCAGAUCCGUCUUAGAUCCGUACAUCGAUAUCCAAAUCCGAUCCAAAUCCAUUUUAAACCGAUCCAAAUCCGAUCCAAUUGGAUUUGGAUCACAUGGAUAUUGGAUCAAAUCCAAUCCAUUGCCAUCCCUAAAAUUAAGUCUAUGCUGUCUCACUACUUCUUUAUUGAAUACGAUACAAGUGUGCGUACAUAAAUGUAUUUCGAUGUUUAAUUAUGAUUUUUUUUUAUCACUACUUUAAUCACAAUUCAAUUUUUUUUUUUCUGUAAAUUUUUUUAUACUAUUUCAAGAGAUUUUAUUGCCAGUGUAAGCUAACCAAUAAACAACAAUAUUACUCGUCAAAAAAAGAACAAAUAACAAUAUUGAAUGGAAAGUUUUCUAUCACAAGCACACAUAUGUGAGGCGAAUGUAAUGUUCUUCCAGAAAAGCUUUUGGUGACCUCUCAGUAGGCUAAAUAAAGCAUUAAUAUUUCAUGUGAUGCCUGUAUGGUCUGUUUCAAUUGAUAUAAGAAGUAUCAAUGAUUUAGAGGAGCUGUUGCUUAAUGAAUUAAGCUCCUUCAUACACGUUGUAAUUGGGGAUUGUAGCUUCUCCUUACGUGUAUGGUGGAGCUGGAAGCAUGUGGCCUCAAUGGAACCCAAAUCUCCUUCAUUAGUGUCAAAACAAUUUAGUUGUUGAAUCAAUUAGCACUCGCUAGUGUCCGAAUUAGUUUCUAAUUGCACAAAAAUUAACUAAAAUGGAACACUAGUGCUGAGCUUAUCCAAUAAUUUAGCUUAAGAGAUUAAUUUAAUUGAACUUACGUGUCAUUACUUUUUUUGGUCUGUGAUCACUCGAUUUUAAUACUAAUUUUGAACCCCUUCCAAUCAAACAUGAACAGUUGGCCUUACCUCGAUCCUAUACAUGACAUAAAAUCAAGCAAAUCAAGAGGGGUCUUAAUUAAACGUUAGAACAUUAGGUUACGCAAUUGUUAACAUCACAUUACCGAAUCAAUCAGACCCCCACCCAUCAAAGUUCAUCAACCACACAAACCGAUUUUAGUACUUUUCCAUCGAUCAUUAUCCUACCUAUAAACGUGGCUGCACGAUCUUGUUUCCAUGGGACCCAUAAAUAAGGCAAGUCCAUACUCAUAUUUUAAUAUACAGCUGCAUUGAUUUAUUAAUAGUUUCAUCUAAUUAGAGAUAAUAUAAUCAUGAUGAUGCAGUUAAAUUUUAUAUAACCAUCAAUUAUAUGUUAGUUCUUUAAAAUAAAUUUAUAAAUUUAAUAAUAUUAUUUUAUUUAUUAUAUGAUUGAUAUAAUACUUUAAAGGUAUUCUAAAAUUUCUCCACCUCUACAUAUAUAUAUAUAUGUACACAUGUCAAAUGACUUAUGCCUCUAAGCUUUAUUUCCAACACCAACGUCUCUAAGCUCCCAACGUUUUGGAUUUCAACAUUGUUUUUUUUUUUUUUUUUUAAUUUGGAUUUGGUCAAUCACUAUGUUACAACAGUUGCAAUACUUUGGAUUACCAACAAAAAAAAUUGUCUUACUUUAAAAGUUGUUUAUUACAGUAUUUCAAUUUUUUCAUUAUACAAAAAUAUUUGAGAAUCAUAAGUCAUUCUAUGAUACCGUGUUAAAAUCAUGACAUCAAUGCUAUAAUCAAACAUAAGUUAUAUAAUUAAAAUAUAAGAUUUGUGAAUUUAAUAUAAAAUUUGUAAAUUAAUAUUAACUAUAAAAUAAAAUAUAAAUUUUGAAAAUGGAAAAAAAACCUUGUAAAUGAAAGGUAAAACAAGUAAGUUAAUAUAAAACUAGUAAAUUGAUAUAUUAUUUGUAAACAAAUUAAAAACUUAGAAAUAUAACAUAGAACUAGUAAAUUAACAUUAAGUACAAAAUAAAAUAUAAAAUUUAGAAAUUGAAGAUAACACCUCUAAAUGGAAUGUAGAGUAAGUAAAUUAAUAGAAAACUAGUAAGUUGAUGUACUUAUGGUAAACAAAACAAAAACUUAUAAAUAUAACAUACAAUUAGGCCAAGUCUCGCUGAUGAGCGCUGACGUAAUGCCCCAACUACAUCUUAAGGAGGCUAUUGAUAUAUUAUUGGUCAACAACACAAAAAACUUACAAGUAUAACACAAAACUAAUAAAUCAAAUUAAGUGUAAAAUAAAACAUAAAUUUUGAAAAUAAAACACAAGACUUAUAAAUGAAAUGUAAAACAAGCCAAUCAAUAUAAGAGUGGUAAAUUAAUGUUUUACUGGUAGACAAAAUGAAAACUUACAAAUGUAACAUAAAACUUAUAAAUUAAUAUUAAGUGCAAAAUAAAAUAUCAAUUUUAUAUAUUACACCUAAAAUGUAUGAAUAGAAGGUAAAAUUAGUAACUUAAUUUAAGAGUUACUUAAAAAAAAUGUAAAAAAAUUACAAACGUAAAAUAAAAACCCAUUGAUUAUCUUAUAUAUUUGAUUUUGUAUUUAAAUUGAAUAAUGAUUAUUUUUUGUUCUUGUGAUACAUUUGAUGUUUUAUUAAGGAUAAAACUUAUUCUCAAAGUUAAAUAAGACUUAUUGAGGAUAAAACUUUAAUGUUUUCAAAGUUGUUUUAAAAUGAGCUCAUUUUACAUUUUUCUACACCUCAGCAGCAGCAUAAAUGGUUCCUGAAUAUAAGUAAGGAGUAAAGUUUAAAACUAUGCAUAAAACUCAAAAUUAAAUCUAAUUUUAUUGAUAUAUCAUAUAUGUCUAGUAAUAAGAAUAUCUUUUUAUUUUGUUUUUGUUUGAUCUACGUUAAGAUAAAUAAUUUCACUUAAUUAACUUGUGUCGUAAAUAGAUAUUAUUAUAGAAAAUAAAAAAAAGUUCAUAAACAUUCCAGAAUGAGCAUAGAGUUUAUAGUUAAAACAAUUCAACAAAACCUAUUCCACUUGUUUUCAGUAUAGUUUUUUUUUUCAAUUGAUGAGUGAUUUUUUCCUUUAUUUAAUUAAAGUAAAUGGUUAUAUCAUUUUUCACUAAAAUAAUAUAAAAACAACGUUAAUUAUUUUAAUAAUAAUAUUUUUAUAUUAAUUUGCUUAUUCAUAGUCUUAUAUAUGAUUUAUAAAAUUUAUAUUUAGCACAAUACUAAUAUCAUAAUUGUAAUCACAAUAUUAUAGAAUUUCCUAUUUAUAAUAAAAAUACAAGCUGAUAACCGUUACAUUUAUUUAUGACUAUAGUUUAAAGUUGAGAGUUCUAUAUAAUUUUUAAUAUUAUUCAACCGAUAACACUAAAAAGAGAAAAUUAUUUAACUUUAGAUGAUGACCAUUACAUUUAUUUUUCUUUUAAAAAAAAUGGAUAUUAAAUGGUGCAAACAACUGUUGGUAUUAAAUAUCUAGUCUUGCCGACACAUCAACUGCCAUUGGAUUGGGACCCAUUUAACUACCGGCCACAAAACAGUUUGGACAAAACUUAAUCCUGAAAACUUGUGGACCCCUCCUUUUAAAAAAUUAAAGAAAAAUUACGUGUCAAAAACAAGAAGAAAAAAUUACACUGAUGAAUUAUUGUUAUGUCAAAUUAUCUAGGGGUGAGCAAAAAAACCGUAGUCUUAAAAAAAUCGAAUCGAACCGACGGUUUUUUUUAAUUCGGUUUGGUUUUUAUUUAAAAAAAAACUAAAAUAUACCGUUUGUAAAAAAAAUCAAAAUAUCGGUUCGAUAUUCGGUUCACUUAGCUGAACUGAAAAACCGAAUUAUUUUUUGAUUUAUUCAAAUCAAACAUGUGUUAAUAAUUUUAUUCAAAUCAAAUAUGUGUUAUUUCUCUUUAUAACAUUAUGAUUAUGUUUAUAUAGAUGGAGUAUUGGAGUUUGGUUAUGUAUUUUGAAAUUUUAAUAUAUUUAUAUUUUGGGAGUAUCUUAUUAAUAGUUAGUAAGAUAUUAGUGAUAAAAUGUAUUUUGAAUACUUUGUAUUUAUUAUUAAUAUUUGUAAUAAAAUUAGGAUAAAUUAAUUGUUGAAAAAAAUUAUUACAUUCAUGAGGCUCAAUGGACUAAUAAUUUAAAAAUUCAAAAAUUCAAAAUAGGCCGAAUAGGCCAAGAAUCGAAAAAACAGAACCGAACCGAACUGACCCAAAAAAAACCGUUUGAGUUUGGUUCUUAUUGAGUUCCGUUCUUAUUCGGUUCUUAUUCGAUUCUUUUUAUAAAAUAACCGAUUUAAAUCGAUUCUAUAAUAAAAUUAGGAUAAAUUAAUUGUUGAAAAAAAUUAUUACAUUCAUGAGGCUCAAUGGACUAAUAAUUUAAAAAUUCAAAAAUUCAAAAUAGGCCGAAUAGGCCAAGAAUCGAAAAAACAGAACCGAACCGAACUGACCCAAAAAAAACCGUUUGAGUUUGGUUCUUAUUGAGUUCCGUUCUUAUUCGGUUCUUAUUCGAUUCUUUUUAUAAAAUAACCGAUUUAAAUCGAUUCUAUUUAAUUUCGAACCGAACCGAACCGAACCGUGCCCACCCCUAAAAUUAUCACACAUAAAAUAAAGAAUUUAAGCAAAAGUCUUAAACCAUUAUAAAUGUGAACACAUGGCAGAAUUAUGAUAUGAUGGGUCCACCUAUUAAAUAUCUUUUUUUAGUGUGGAUACUCGUGUUUCAUAAAAGUAUAAAUUUAAUAUUUUAUAAUAGUAUAAAAUAUUUUAUAAAGGGCAAACGUCAACACUUUAAAAAAAAAUUCUUAGGAUUAAAGUUUAUCAUUAUAAAAAUAAAGUUGAUUGGUACGAGUGUUUCGGUAAUCUCAUUUUUUAAGAGAGAUUAAGAAUUUAAGCUCCGCUCUUAUAUGAAGUCACUAUUUUAGUCAGUAUUUUAUUUUUUAUGGGCUGACCCAGUAUGAGCAGUGAUUAAUCUAAAUUAUAGUAUCGAUUUAAAGGUAUCUCCUACAAUUAAAGUCCACUCAGAACUGACAAAAAAAAAUUAUCAUUACAAAGAGUGAAAAAGAGAAAUCCAGUUUUGAGGGUUACCAAAGCACUUAAAAAAAUAUAUAAAGCACAAAAUAUUUAAAAAUUGGAGACAGUUCGUAUCGAGAAAGGGUCUUAAUUCAUUAAUGCAUAUGACAUACAAUGCAAAGUUUCGCGGUCUAUUAAAGCUAGAAUUAAUUUUAUCCAUUAAACUGCUCUUUUCCUAGUUUAUGGAUAAUUCUUUUGAACCACUGUUGAAGUAUUUGCAAUUUUUGACUAAAUUGUCUCAGCAUGAAGUCUCGUUGGCGAAACCAUCCAUGUCCACAUAUGACGAAAAUAAAUGAACCAACAAUAGACCAGUCACAUUAUUAUUAUUAUUAUUAUUAUUAUUAUUAUUAUUAUUAUUAUUAUUUGAGCACAUAAAUUGAUUUUCUUAUAGUAAAGAAAAAAAAAGUUUUUUCUCCGUGAAUUUGACUUUUUCUUGUGGUAUCGAACCAACCAUAGACUUAUUACCUCUAAAAUUUUCUGAAGGUUAAGAUUUUUUUUUUUAAACAAUUAAAACCAUCCCCAGAAAGAGACUCGAUGACACGUGUCAAAAAAUUGAAGUUUCUAACGGAGUUAAGAAAUAAGAAUAUGUUAAAAUAAGCAAAUUAAUGCAUACAUGUCAAAAAAUCUUCCAAAUAUUAAUUAAGUAAAUUCAGAUUAGUACAAUUUUAUUGAUUAUUUGAUUGUCACCCAGAAAAUCUAAGAAGAAAUUUUUAGCAACCCUUACUAUUUGGGUCACGAAAAGCUUAUAAAUAGACCCAGAUCUCCCAUACUACGAUCAUCAGCAACACCAAAAACACUUUCUUGAAGUAGCGUCUAUAAAUUUCUCUUCUGCUAUCACUUUUUACUCUAUUAAUUAAUAAUGUCUGAGGAAAAGCACCACCACCACGGCCUCUUCCACCACCACAAGGAGCAUGAGAAGCCUGAGGGUGCCACCGGCUACUCCGACACCGCCACCGGCUACUCUGAUACAGCCACCGGCUACUCUGAUACCCCCACCGGUUACUCCGACUCGACCACCGGAUACUCUGAUCAGUCAGCCACUGAUUACUCUGAGACUACAGGUUAUCCGGGAGACCGGCGUCGGCCAUCGGAGACGGAGAGCGGUGACUAUGGCAGGAAAGAGGAAGAGUUUGAUUACAAGAAGGAGGAGAAGCACCACAAACAUCUCGAGCACCUCGGAGAGCUUGGAACUGCUGGAGCUGGUGCUUUUGCUCUGGUAAAGUGAUUCUUCAUCAAGUGCUUUUUUUAUUUUGUGAUAGUGUAUAGUUUCAUUUCUCAUGCAUACAUACAAAAAAAAAGAUUUUUUUUUUUUGACAGCAUAUAUAUGUAUAUAUACAAAGUACCACGCAUGUAACUAGGCUUUUUGCAUGGAUUGGAGGAAAAAAAAGAAAGAAUCCCAUUAUUUUCUUUAAUUUUAUCUCUAUGUUGACACUCAAUUAUUUAUUUAUUUAAUUUUUUUUGGGGGGUUGGGGGGUGUGAACCGAUAUUGUAAAUGGAUCAGCUUGAGAAGCACAAGGCAGAAAAGGACCCAGAGCAUGCACACAGGCACAAGAUAGAGGAGGAGAUAGCCGCGGCCGCAGCCGUUGGAUCGGGAGGAUUUGCGUUCCACGAGCACCAUGAGAAGAAAGAAGCCAAGGAAGAAGACCAGGAAGCUCAUGGAAAGAAGCACCACCAUCUCUUUUAAUUAAUUAUGUAUUGCGUGCGCUACCUUUUUUAGUUUAUUAUAAUUAUGUGUUAAUAUUUUCUGUAUUUUAUUUGUUUUUGUUCGUUAAUUAUCAUUGAGCACAGAGGUAGCUAUCUGCAGCCCUAAAUAAUACUCUUGUGUGUUCGCGUGUAUGGGUGAGUCUGGUGACUUUUGUAAAUAGACCGGAGUUAUCUGGUUAUGUUGUCAUCUUACUUUCAUAUUUAUGUUGAUAAUAAAACUUAGUUUUAAUUGUGUGUUUAUUAUUUAUAAGAUUUGACCUCAUGAUCUGAUGUUUUCUCCAAUCUCAGCUGUUGCUUUAGAAGUGGGGAUCAUCUAUUACUAUUGUUUUUAAAUGAACUGAGCUGACAGCCAUUGCGCUAAAGACUAAUUCAACAUCAUAAAUAAACAACUCUCUUUGCCGUGAUGUAAUUUUAUUUGCCAAUGGGAUAAAGUAAAUUUAUGUGAAAUAACAUUUAUUCUAUAUUUAUUAAAUUUUUUAAAGGAAUAUAUAAAGUUUAAAUUAACCUACAACUUUUCUUAAGAUUCAAAUCCUUGGGGGCUUUAUCAACUAAGAUUUGAUAUUAUAUCUGAAAAUGUAAUCGUGAAACCAAUGAUUAUAAGUUGAACUUAAUGUACAACUAAUCUUGAUAUUACCAAGUUGAUUUAUGGACUUUUGCUCGAGAAUGUUGUAUGGCUCGUGACAAGUUGGACUGAAAAGCCCAUCGAGUAAUGGAAUGUUAGGUGUAUUUUCUCAAGAAGCAACACUAAAUAAUCACCCGCUGAGAGUCACAAGUUUCUUGGCACAAUGUUACUUUCAUGGAUUUAAGUCUCUAAUUAUUGUGUUUUGACUCUAAAGCCAAAUCCCAGUACCAUUGUCAUGAAGGAGGGCCAAAAUAAUCAUUUCCGAUUCGGCUCAACUUUGAUACAAUAGUUGGAGCGAUUAAUGUUACACUUUAACAUCUAACUAGGGACGUAGCUUUCUCCUUUAUUGUAAUAAACAUGAAAGUGAAAAAAAAAUGUACUUGAAAAGAUUAAGAGGACAUGAAAGAACACGAAACAGGGCUCCAUCUACCAUGCCCCCUUGCGCACCGUACCCCCUUUACUUGUUUUGUAAUGAAGGCACCGUUGGAUGAAAAGGAGGAAGAUCGUGGAAGUGGGAAAUCGCCAGGUGGCAGUUGACAAAAACCGGGAGUAUAUGUCAAUUGACAGGAACUGUUUAUGGUGCAAUAAUUUUAUUAAAAGGAACAACAAAUAUGUUGGUAUAGACAACAAUAAAGUAGUUAGCUGGAGCAAUUAUAUGUAGAAGCAAGUAGUUUGUUAGAGACAAUUUUAUGUACGUUAUAAACAAAUAUUUUGUUUGAAGAGGCAUAUAAGUGUGGUUACUGUAGCACGGAAAAUGAAAUGAGAUCAAUUGAUGUUAACUAAAUAAAAAAUGAAGCAUGAACGAAAGGAUAGGAAGUAGAUGUAGUUGAUUAGAUGUGUUGAGAAUACACUCGGAGCUGCAAAAUCCGGCAGGGCCACAGUAAAUGGAGCAAAAAAUAAUCUAGUAUGUGGAGGGAUGAGUUGGCGAAUUAGUAGGAAGCAUCAAAAAAAUUGAGAGCCGCCGUCGGCUGACCAUUUGUGGCAUUAGUUCCACAAAUUGGCAAAUGGGGGAAGGAAGCUUGUGUAAGUGGCAUUAUUUGUAGUGUAUGGAAAUGAUGGGAAAACGAGGAAAAACAAUUACAGCACAACAAGUAAUACUGAAAUAAACAGAAAGGAGAGAAAAAAUGGAAUGAAAAUAAAGUAUAAUUGCAUAGAUAGUGAUUUUUUUUUAUUAAAAAAAGGAACAAAUUGUAGAGUGGAAAGGAGGUAUAUAUAAUCAGAACAAUAGUGGAUUAGAUUGUGUGAAAUUUGCAUGAGUCUGAAGAAGUAUAAAUUGAAUUUGAAUAGAAUUUGAACUGAUCUGUGGCUAGGAUUUGAAUAUCAAGUGAAAAUACGAAAAAAAAAAACAUGUAGCAAAUAAAGAUUGGCAUGGAAGCAGGAUAAUCAGUUCAAAAAGCAGGAGCUAUGGAAUUGACGAUAGCUAGAAAACCCAUGCAUGUCAGUGUUGUUACAUGGCUAUCACCAUAGGUCCACAACCGUGACUUGAAAUAACAAAUAUUUCGGAAAGUGGGUGAUUGCUUAAGACGUGAACGACCAAAUGCCCAUCAUCUUUAUUUAUUACCAUGAAACUGCACUUUAUAGCGCCAUAUAAAUACAUUCGUAAUGCACAAAACAAAUACAUGUCCAUUACAUUGGCAGCCCCAAAAUUAAUAAAAUAAUAAUAAUAAUGCUCAUUUCCAAUGAAAUCAAUAAAUCAGAUCUACAACGGACUGUAACCCAUAGGCAUAAUGCAUCCAAUUCACUUCUUUCCAUUACUUGUUGCAAUUUCACUUUCUGAUUUUCUACACAGAUUCAUUGAAAAAACUUAACAACUAUGAAGUUACUAUGGAACUUUCGAUCAUACAUUUGAUUAUCAUUACAUGUACUUACAAAGAUACAAAACAAAUAAAUUAAUUAAUCCCUUGAUCAUUAUACUACAAGUGCAAAAAAUUGUGAUAUAAAUUUAGGAAAAUCAGUUGGGUGGAAAUUGAUAAUUAAGACGCGAUGUGCUUUUAAGAAGUUGAAGUUGAAUGUAUAGUCAGCAUAAAGAUAAAUAAAUGGGGACGCCAAACACCACCAAUACAAUGAAAUUACAGAGAAAAACAACUAUUUUUUUCUCAUCAAUCAUGCUGCAUUAAAUGGGCCCAGUUGAACUGCUGGUAAUAAUCCCUAAAUCAAUUUGAAAUCGAUGCCCUCUACUCCACAAUUUUACCCUAAAUCUCACUUUCCAAUAGGUUUACCAACAAAAAUUCACUAUUCAACUCAUGCAUUUCAAUUUCAGCUUCCACUAACCUGAUAUUUUUUAUUGCCGUGAUCUCUUCUCCCUCUGUUUCGUUUGAUGUUACCAGAAGAAAAUUAAACUCAACACGAUCCACUUGAUAAAUCUGAGCUAACACACCGUCGCUGCGCACUUGACUAUUCUCCACAACUCGGGUCUCUCUCCCUCACACCGGUCAAAAUCAAUUCCACUCACGGUUUACAGCACCCUAAGACCAAUGUCAAAGGUGCAACAUGUUGGAAUGGUAGCCCAACUUUAACUUACUAUUCAUUCUCAAAGCUCCAACCAUUAGAUUUCACUCAUUAUAAUCUAACGGUUCCCAGCAAACCGACAAAUACAGGGAGCACGGUGCCCAAGGGGGCACAAUAGCUGGACCCACGAAACAGGCGGAUAAUUAGGGAACUCAUGAUUGUCAUCUUUAAUUUGCACAGAAAGAGCAUUAAUUUUUUAUUUUUUUUGGGUUUUAUACUUUUAUCUCACCACUUGAGAGUGGUACAUUUAACAAAAACCCAAAUUCACUAGCAUCUAUGUAAUGUUAUUAUUUUUCUCGCUAAAAAUAUGCUUAAACAAAAAGGAAAUAUCGACAAUUCUAAAUAGAUAAAAAAUUAUUUACACAGGCGUUAAAAAAAACCUUUAUGGAUUAAUUUUUUAAUAAUAAAUAAUAAUCUUCAUUAUUAUUUAGUCUAAUGACAGCUGAUGGAUUCUUUUUUCUAUUUAUAUAAUCAGCUUAAUUAGUUCGAGCCUAAAAUUUUUAAUUUCAAGAAAUUUUAUCAUCUCAGAUGAAACCUACAUUGAACAAUUGUUUAUAUUACAACAGUAAAUUAUAACCACCGAAACAUCAACUGCCAUUGGAUUGGGACCCAUUUAACCACCGGCCAUAAAACAGUUUGGACAAAACUGAAUCCUGAAAAACUUAUGCACCUCCCUUUUCACUUGUUUUUUUUUUAAAAAUUAAAGAAAAAUUACGUGUCAAAAAGAAAAAAAAAAUUACACUGACGAAUCCCUUAUUGUCAUGCCAAAUUAUCACACUUAAAAUAAAGAAUUUAAGCAAAAGUCUUAAACCAUUAUAAAUGUGAACGUAUGGCUGAUUUAUGAUAUGAUGGGUCCAUCUAUUAAAUAUGUUGUUUUCUUUAGUGUGGAUGUUUUUAUUUUAUUUUAUAAAAAUAUGAAUUUAAUAUUUUAUAAUAUUAUAAAAAUUAUAUAAUAUUAUAAAAGAUUUUAUAAAGUGCAAAGUUCAACACUUGAGAAAGAUUUCUUAAGGUUAAAGUUUAUCAUUACAAAGAGUGAAAAAAAAAAGAAGAAGAGGAGGAAAAUAUCGAAUUGUAACUACAACCGUCAUGUUUUUACAUUGCAUUUCUUACAAUUUUCCAUUAAAUAUUUCUCAAAUUCUUUAGAGAAUUAAAAUAAAAUUGUUAUAAAAUUAAAUUCUCUCAUGAUCUAAAUUUGUCUGAAGUAAAAUUUAGUUGGAGAUUAGUGAUUAAUUAAAAAAAUAGUUAAAUCAAAAUCAUACAUAACAUUAAAAAAAAUAUAAAACACAAGAUAUUUAAAAAUUCGAGAGAGUUCAUGUUAAGAAAGGGUUUUAAUUCAAUAAUGCAUAUGAUAUGCAAUGCAAAGUUUGGUGGGUCUAUUAAAACUAUAAUUAAUUUUAUCCAUUAAACUGCUAUUUCCUCUUUUAUGGAUAAUUCUUUUGAGCCACUGUUGAAGUAUUUGCAAUUUGUAACUAAAUUGUCUGAGAAUGAAGUCUCGUUGGUGAAACCAAUCAUGUCGACAUGUAACGAAAAUAAAUCAAAAUCCGGAAACAAUAUUUAUGUAACAAUGAACCAACAAUAGACCAAUCACAUUAUUAUUAUUAUUAUUAUUAUUAUUAUUAUUAUUAUUAUUAUUUAUUACCUCUAAAAUUUUCUGAAGGUUAAGAUUUUUUUUUUUAAACAAUUAAAACCAUCCCCAGAAAGAGACUCGAUGACACGUGUCAAAAAAUUGAAGUUUCUAACGGAGUUAAGAAAUAAGAAUAUGUUAAAAUAAGCAAAUUAAUGCAUACAUGUCAAAAAAUCUUCCAAAUAUUAAUUAAGUAAAUUCAGAUUAGUACAAUUUUAUUGAUUAUUUGAUUGUCACCCAGAAAAUCUAAAAAGAAAUUGUUAGCGACCCUUAACAUUUGAGUCACGAAAAGCUUAUAAAUAGACCCACAUCUCCCAUGCUACGAUCAUCAGCAACACCAAAAACACUUUCUUGAAGUAGCGUCUAUAAAUUUCUCUUCUGCUAUCACUUUUUACUCUAUUAAUUAAUAAUGUCUGAGGAAAAGCACCACCACCACGGCCUCUUCCACCACCACAAGGAGCAUGAGAAGCCUGAGGGUGCCACCGGUUACUCCGACUCGACCACCGGAUACUCUGAUCAGUCAGCCACUGCUUACUCUGAGACUACAGGUUAUCCGGGAGACCGGCGUCGGCCAUCGGAGAUGGAGAGUGGUGACUAUGGCAGGAAGGAGGAGGAGGUUGAUUACAAGAAGGAGGAGAAGCACCACAAGCAUCUCGAGCACCUCGGAGAGCUUGGAACUGCUGGAGCUGGUGCUUUUGCUCUGGUAAAGUGAUUCUUCAUCAAGUGCUUUUUUCAUUUUGUGAUAGUGUAUAGUUUCAUUUCUCAUGCAUACAUACAAAAAAAAAGAUUUUUUUUUUUGACAGCAUAGAUAUGUAUAUAUAAAAAGUACCAAGCAUGUAACUACGCUUUUUGCAUGGAUUGGAGGAAAAAAAAGAAAGAAUCCCAUUAUUUUCUUUAAUUUUAUCUCUAUGUUGACACUCAAUUAUUUAUUUAUUUAAUUUUUUUUGGGGGGUUGGGGGGUGUGAACCGAUAUUGUAAAUGGAUCAGCUUGAGAAGCACAAGGCAGAAAAGGACCCAGAGCAUGCACACAGGCACAAGAUAGAGGAGGAGAUAGCCGCGGCCGCAGCCGUUGGAUCGGGAGGAUUUGCGUUCCACGAGCACCAUGAGAAGAAAGAAGCCAAGGAAGAAGAC
rnacentral:lncRNA from 1 species